rnacentral:lncRNA from 1 species
AAAAAGAAAAAAGAAAAAAAAAGAAGUUUCGAUCCCCUCUCCUCUCUCACUUUCCCGUUUGUUCUCUUCACCCCCAUUCCUCCGGGCUCGCCGUCGCCGACGGGACCUCCUCCACCUCCCGCACAUCCUCACCAACAUCUCCCCAAGACUAAGGCGUAAGGAGGAAGCAAGCGCCCACCUCCCGCCGCCUCCACUGCCACCGCUGUAGCAGCAGUAGCGUACGCAGGAGAUUCAGAACUGUGUGUUGAACACGCGCGUGGCAGGGAUGGACGACGGCGACAGCGUCGCCCGGAGCGCAGACAAGGAUGCCCCCCCGGGAGACGACGGGAGCUCCACGCCCCUCCCCGAGACGGUGAGGAUCUCCUCUAUUAUGCAAGCACCGCGUGUUUGUUUCGAAUUGUCCGCUGUUUAGAUUUCAUUCGCGUGAUUGAACGUCUUUAUUGGUGCGGUAUGGUUCGGAGUUGAGCGAUUCGUGCUUGGAAAUGGCACAAUCUCGUGCGGCCGCAGGGUUCCAAGGAGCUGGGUAUGGAGAUAUCUUGUUUAGGACUAUAGGUUCCAUGCUAGAAGCGCGAGUAGACAUGAAUUCGGUAUUUUCUUAGGUCUGAGAUGACAGGAAUGGUCACUAUUGAAUGGUAGGACCUGCAGAGGUAUGAAAAUGUGACAUGAGCAUGCUGUCCGAGAAGUUCCAUUAGUGUUAUGGAUGGCCUUGCAGGUCUUUGUUCUUAACCUACUAUAUUCGUGUUUUUUCACGGCACAAAUGGAGCAAAUAUGCUUCUUUAACAUAGCAGGAAGUAGAUGCGCGAGUUUGAAUAUGCUACUGUGGUUGUUAUGGAACAGUAGGAGCUAAUUAACGCAACAAGCAGUGCCUAACUGAGAUUUCUAAAUUUGGAAAAGGAAAUGUGGGAAUGCAACAGCGUAGGUUGGUCGGUAUAUGCUUGUGCAAGUGUGUACUGUUUAUUUUUACAGAACAAAGUGUGUAUGGUUUCUAGGGUUUUGAACUGGGUUGCAAACUCUGCUUAUGUCUUGGUAAGACAAAACCUUCUUUAGUGCUGAUUCUGUGUUCCUUUUUGAACCUGUGCAUGCCAUUUAUGGUAAACAAUGUUAAAAUAACUACUCUUCAAAUGGAUAUUAACAUCUCCAUAGACCAUAGACUAGUAGUUUUGAUCACAUAUACUCCCUCUGUCCCAAAAUAAGUGUCAUUGAUCUAGUACAAAAUUUGUGCUAAUUUAGUACUAAAUCUGCGACACCUAUUUUGAGACGGAGGGAGUAAUUCUUAGACUGCUUGUUGGUGGCAUUCCAGAAUAAACAUCUGGAUGCCUACAUGCUGCAAAAGCUCAAAAUGUCCUUUGCUUCAUGUUUUAUGCAGUAUUACUACCUAUUUUGGUCAGGGUGUUAUAUAACUAAAUUCAUAGAUGCAUGUGAGCCUGGAUUUUUUCUUGUUGUUAGGAAAUAGGAAAUAUGCAUACACACACACACACACACACACGUGUGCAGGUGGUAAAUAUGUAGGAAACCCCUCAUACUAUGGGAAAAAUAUACAGCCUAUACAUGGAACAUAAUAUAACUCACCCUGUUGUCGUGGGAAAUUGAUCCGCACAGCACCACAAAUUCCUCACUUACGUGGAGGUAAACAGACCAUUUUUAUGCAAAACGGCAAAGAUGAGCCAAACCCUAGGGCUGCUAGGGCUGUGCAGAAGCUACGACCUAGGCGCUGGAAGGAGAAAGCUUAUAGGAGAAAAAAGUAACGUAGAGUUGCGAAAGGAUCAAUGAUUGUAGCUUUUCAGUCGACCAUGUACCCAUAUAUAUUAGGUAUGCUUGGCCUUUGGCAAUUUGGAAUAGGACCCCUGACUAGUCAGGUACCAUUUCCUUGGCAUACAAGCCAAAUUGGUAAUCUUUAAUUAAUUCGGCUAGACCUGUAAAAGCACCAGCCUGAGCCCAAUGCUAGUACACCUUCCUUAUUAGCUCUGUUCUCGCCGAAUAGCUGAUCAUGCAAAAUCUUUUCUAUCUCAAGCAUUCUAAACCAGAUCUCUUUCCUUUUUUCUCUUCAUGCGUGAGCUCCAGCACACAAUUCUGUUGCAUCCAGCCUGCUGCACCUAUCCUAUGUACUUGCAAUCAUGUGGCCAUUCUCAAACAAUGUAUCAACCAAUUAGCUUAUCCACCAAAACUAAAUAAUCCGGCUGACCAUUCAAGCCAGAUCCAAAUUAGACUGUCAACACAUGCCCCCCUGGUUUUGGUGUAAUUUUAUUUGCCAAAAACACCAUGGCAAUAUCUUGAGACGAUUUCAACCACUUCACCGGUCAUAUCAAUUGCUUAGGGCGAUGUCCACAUAACACACCUGCCAAAUUUAGCAUAAGGUGAUAUCUAAAAUCACAUCGGGCAUGUUUUGCUUAGGGCGACAUCUUAAAUAAUAUCGCCCAUAGUGCCAUCAAGCUUCUUGCCACAUUCUAGGAUAGUGCUUCUUCAGAUAUUUUCUAUUGAGAGCUUUAGGCAAUUUCUCCCCUUGCAAAAAUUGUAGAGAAUAUCAAUUUCCAGGAACAAUCUCUACAAUCUUAUACGGACCUUCCCAACUUGGCGACUAUUUGCCGAAUUUAUUAUUUCUAGUUCCUAUAGACAAAACCGUUCUCCGCACUAAUUCUCCUAUUUGAAACGAUUUCCCCCUUAACUUUUAUUAUAAGCCUUUGCCACUCGUAAUUUCUUUGUUUUCAAUUUCUUGCAAGGCUCUCAACCUUUCCUCUGAUACAUUAUCUAUCCUAUCCAUCAUUAAAUUGUUGUAAUCUAGAGCCGACAAAUCAUUUUGUCUGGCUACUCUAAGAGCUUGCAAAUUAAUCUCCACGGGUAGCACUGCUUCUUGCCCAUACACUAGCUCAUACGGUGUCACUUGAGUCACUCCGUUCGUAGAUAUCCAACGAGCCCAUAAAGCUUCUGAUAGCACUUCAUGCCACCUUCUCGGAUGCUCCUUAAUUUUCUUCUCUAUAAGCUUAAUUAAAGUUCUAUUGCUAGAUUCGGCUUGUCCAUAAGCUUGAGCAUAAUAAGGCGAUGAAUUUAGCAAUUUAAUUCUAAAAGAUUUGGCGCACGAAAUUGACGAGACAUAAAAGAAGAGGCAGGGAGACAGCAACAGCAAAAUCACUCAAACAUGAGACACGGGUAGCAGCAGCGGGUCCACCGGGAGUGAGCAGCAGGCCAGGGCACAUGAGAAUUGCAGCGGCGAGUGCUCGGAGGUGCAGAACUGAGCAGCAGAAUCACGGAGCUGGGCGGGCGGAGGCGGAGGUGCAGAGUAACGAGCCCGUGGCCUGGGGGAAACGGAGGCGGCAACACGGAUAUGGUGGGGCUGCCGAUCUAGGCCGAUUUGCAGGUAGUGGAGUUGUGGAGGCGAGGCGACAUCAGCUACUGCAGCUUGGAAUCGGGAUCCAGCAGGGCGUUGACCAGUGUAGAAUCCUCAGGCGAGGGCAGGUGGCGAUGUGAAGAGCAGGCAGCAGCAGCCGUUAGAAGGAAAUGAUGGCGGCGACCAAAAAAAAGGGAUGGCGGCGGCGCAACGGGGGAUCACAGCACGAGUUGCAUGUGCGAAAAAAACCCUAGGCUCUAAUACCAUGUUAGGAAAUAUGCAACUUGAAUUUCCUAGGGGCCAAUGGCUAGCAUAUUAUAUACUCCCUCCGUCCUAAAAUAACUGUCUUGACUUUGUACUAGCUCUAAUACAAAAUUGUACUAAGCUUAAGACAGUUAUUUUAGGANNNNNNNNNNNNNNNNNNNNNNNNNNNNNNNNNNNNNNNNNNNNNNNNNNNNNNNNNNNNNNNNNNNNNNNNNNNNNNNNNNNNNNNNNNNNNNNNNNNNCACUUAUUUUGGGAUGGAACUCCUAUUAAGCAAAUGUGGUCAUCGGCAACAGGAUUGUGGAUACUAUUUAUUUAUUUUGGUAAAUUUUGUAAGUGAUUCAAACACAAAAUUUAAAUAUUCCUAACAAGAGUUACUAGCCCUUAUUUUCGUAAACAAGAAAUAUGCUACUGUUGUUCUGUCUUCUGAGCCAUUUACAGAACUUCAAUUCCAUAAUCCCACCAGCAUACAAAAAAGACAGGAACUUUUGUACUCGGUAUGCCUACAGUCUACACCAUUGGAAGAACAACUUUCGUCAUUAGUCUCAUCGGUUACAGGGCAGAGCACCAACGGGAGAUGAUCAAGGACAUUCUAUGUUGUUUACUGAUAAAGAAAAUACAAAAAAGAAAAUUCAGUGUUAUACUGUAUGUCAUAAAGGUAGCGAGUGAGAAGGUAAUCAAGCAAGCUAGGAAGAUUGCAUACUGUGGCAGAGGGGGGGGGGAGGAGGUGCACAAUGCAAACCAGAAAUCAACUACAAACAGUAUAUGCACUCAGAAUCACCACAUAAAAGGAGGCAAAGGGUACAUGCUCCAUUACCAUGAUAUAGUACUCCGAUUGCUUCCCUUUGUAGUGUACUCUUGGCACGCCAUGAAUUCCACUAAGAGUGCUGCCAGAUGGAUGUUUUACGCAAACUAAGUUAAUAUGCAUUCUAGAAAUGCCAAUUGCAAUCACAAUUUGUACAGAAAAGCAAGGCCAAAAAGGAAAUUGUACAAAAUGUAAAAGAGUUGCAGGAGCAAGAAAAAAUAGGACAAACUGAACACUUACUUGUAAACCUGCCACUCAUAAGGAGCUCCAUAGCUGCAGCAGCCUUUACUGGUUCGGUGUUCAAAUUUGAUUGCAACCUGAAAAUAAACAAAAACAUGAUAUAAAUAUAAUGCAACUAUCAUAAACUCAACUACUAAAAUACAAGAGGCAUCCAGAUAAGACAAAUUGACCUCCAAAGCAUUUGCACCAGGUGUCCUGUCACUGAGACUAGGAGUGGAAAUACGGCGACCAACGUAUACUUGCCCAAAUCCUCCCUUUCCAAGCUUUCUGUCAAGUUUGUAGGUAGGUGAAUUGCCAAUCUGGAUCUGUUCCACCUCAACGAAAAAGAAUAUGAGUCACGCAAUCACCAAAACGAUGCAACCAUGCUACACCCAUUUUAAAAAGCAGAUAUUCCUACUACGCAACCAGGUAUUCCUACUACACCUACUGCUAAGACUAAUGCAAAAAAGUUAGGUUCCUGCACAUCAAAUGCUAAAGAUUCUUGGGCAGUGAAUAAACUCAGUGAAUCUUGCACAGAUGGAUGAACAAAGGCUCAUCCCAUGUCAGGAGAAAAAACAUUAAUAACUUCUACCUGCAAGAACUCUGACUGUUGGGACCUGCUAUAAUUUUUCCAUUGGGUAGUAAUUUCCAAAGAUUAUAGUAGGAGGCAUAUGCCUGCACUACCCUAUUAAGUACAUCAAUCAUCAUUUUUAGAGCUAGUGCUGUGGUUAGAACUGUUAGAGCAUCUCCAACAGCCACGCUUCGCGCCGCGCCCAAAAAAUAUUUUUACAGCGCACGCGCCGGCUGGUUUAGCGCAGGGAUAGGCGCUGGCUCCAACAGCCGCGCUAUAAUGCAGCGCGCGCAGCAGGCACAAACCACAUAUACAUUUUAAAAAAUAGUGAAAAAAACGAUCAAACAAACAAAAUAAAUCAACAAUAAUAGUUAUUACAACUCAAACAAAUAGUUUCUCGUUCAAUACAACAAAUAAUGCAAUAAACACAACCAAUAGUUCAUGAACAAUACAAUACAAAUAAAGCAAUCAAAUCAUGCUCUUUGUCGUCCAUGCCAUGCCCACCACUCUUCAAUCAGAUCCUUCUGAAGAUCAUUGUGUGUUGCGGGACGCCGAAUGGCAUGAUACGAGGCAACAAAACGGGCAACCCUUUCAGCCCUCCGUCGCACUCGCACGGGAUGUCCCAAGAGCUCAUACUGUGAGUAGUCUACAUCUUGGCCACGCUCAUUCUCGAUGAUCAUGUUGUGCAUGAUCACACAAGCGUGCAUGAUGUACCAAAGCAUUUUUUGAUCCCAAAAUCUAGCCGGUCCUCUCACAAUAGCAAAUUGGGCUUGUAAAAUCCCAAAUGCUCUCUCCACAUCUUUUCUAGCAGCCGCCUGAGCAUUGUGAAAAUCAAGAUUUUUCUUACCUUCUGGCUUUUUCAACGGCUUCACGAAGGUUUGCCACUUUGGAUAGAUGCCAUCCGCUAGAUAAUAGCCAUAGUUGUACGUACGGCCAUUUGCUACAAACUGCACCGGUGGCAACUCACCAUUCGCAAUCUUAUUCAUCAGUGAAGACCGGUUGACAACAUUGAUGUCAUUCAAAGAUCCAGGCAUUCCAAAGAAUGCAUGCCAAAUCCAAGUCUCAUGAUCGGCCACCGCUUCAAGGAUUAUAGUGGAACCCUUUUUUUGGCCGUGGAAUUGCCCAUGCCAUGCCUUUGGACAAUUUUUCCAACUCCAAUGCAUGCAAUCUAUUGAGCCAAGCAUGCCAGGAAAGCCGCGAGAUUUGUUCAUCGCCAAUAGCCUUGCGGCGUCUUCAGCAGUGGGAGAUCUCAAAUACUCCUCGCCAAACACUUGCAUAAUUCCCACUGCAAAGCGCUUGACACACAUGAUGGCUUGGCUCUCACCCAUAGCCAAGUGAUCAUCAACUAAAUCAGCCGGGAUACCGUAUGCCAACAUACGCAAAGCGGCUGUCACCUUCAGAAAGGUGCUAUGCCCGAGCUCUCCGGCGGCAUUCCUCCUUUGCUGGAAAAACCGGUCAUGGCUCGCAAGUUUCUCUACAAUGCGCUUGAACAAGUCUGUGCUCAUCCUAAACCGGCGACGAAAAUACGACUCCGGGUAUGUGGGAUUCUCCACGAAAUAGUUCUUCAUCAAUCUGUUAUGGGCAUCAAUCCUAUCUCUCCAAAAAAUUUCCCGACCCAUAACCGAACCACCGUGCUUCGGUUUUUUAUUGAUAUGCAUAGCUAUGAUCAUUGCAAGAUCCUCCUCCUCUUCCAUAUCAAACUCUUCUUCGGAAGAAGCAUACGACGAACUCAUCUACAAUGUUCAAUACUAUACUAUAAAAAACUACAAUUCAAAACAUGCACCAAAUUCAUAAAUUUGAAGCAAUACAUACCUUGUAGGCAUUUUGUCGAACACCUUGCGGGCGCGGCGCGGCAGCGAGCGGUGGGGCGCUGUUCCUCGGACGUCGGAGGCGCGCGAGGGCCGGCCGGACUAGGAGGGGUGGGGCGGAAGCGCGGCGGCGCGGGGAGGCCGGGGAAGCGCCUGAACGGGGGGCGCGGGCGGCGGCCGCAGCGGAGACAGGCCGGGGAAGCGACGGCGGGCNNNNNNNNNNNNNNNNNNNNNNNNNNNNNNNNNNNNNNNNNNNNNNNNNNNNNNNNNNNNNNNNNNNNNNNNNNNNNNNNNNNNNNNNNNNNNNNNNNNNAUAUAAGAGCGUUUAGAUAACUACUUUAGUGAUCUAAACGCUCUUAUAUUUCUUUAUAGAGGGAGUACAUCCAAACAACAAUUGGAAUUGGGUUCUACCCUGUGAUUCCAACAGUAAAUUCCAUGCACAACCAAACAAUAGAAUCCGAAUUGGAGUCCAUUUCCUUUCCAUCUUGGAAUUGGAACUAUCAGUCCAGUUCAAUUCCAAGCAGUUUUUCCUACAUCCAAACAGGGGGCUAAUGUAUUUGCCUAGAAUGUCUUAUUGGCUCUUGUGCUACUUCAAAGUAGACAUGGAUUUACAUUUUUCUAGCAAAUAAUGGCUAUAGUAAUGAUCAGGUAUUGUACCUAGUGCUACAUAUAUCUCAGAAUAUAUUGGCACAUUGGCACUGUGGUCUAUGGCUCUACCGUUUGUCUGAGUAGCUAAGUACUUGUUACUGUGCAUAUAUUCCUCGAUCUGCUUACCUAUUAUCAUCUAUGCACAUAUAUUUUUGUGCAUUAAUGUUAAUUUGAUGCUGACGAAACAAGUCUUCUGAUCCAACUGAAGUUUUGAGUAAGUUUAGGAUCAACAGUGACACUGACAUUCACUCAGGAAGGUGAAAGACUACUAGCUCCAUCCUGGUUUAUUGGUCCCCCCGUAUUUUGUGCCAAAUUUUUAUCAUAGAUUUAACUAACAAAAUUUUAAUUCAUGCCACCAAAAAUUAUAUAGUUGGGUAUUUGAACAUAGUUCCCGAUGAUAAUAUUUUUCUAUGUAUAACUUAUAUUUUAUUAGUUAAAAUCAUGGUCAAAAUAUGACCCUAAAUACGAGGGGGCUAAUAAAACAGGACGGAGGUAGUAUAUAUAUUACUACGUGGAAAGUAAAGUUCAAAACUAACAGUGAACAGCUAUAUGAACAAAAGCACAGCUAUAUGAACAAAAGCAGAGUGCUUCAGAAGCAAUGGAAGGUUAAUGAUUUUCCAAUUUAUAUGAACUUUGACGCUCUAACUGGUUUCUACUACCUCUGUACACUUUUAUAAGACGUUUUAGAUCAAUAAAGUAGUGAUCUUGAACGUCUUAUAAAAGUUUACGGAGGGAGUAGUAUUUAUUAAAUUAUUUACACACUUGAUUAAGACUUUCUACCUCAAACCAUUACAUCUUCAUCAAAUUCAAUCUACUUUAUUCAAUAGGUACAUUUAAUCAGUUAAACAAACUUAACAAGCAUGGAGCAUGCCAGCAAUCAUAUCUGGUGGUUUGGCUAUUGGCGCAAAGUGGUACUCCCUCCAUCCCAAAAUAAGUGNNNNNNNNNNNNNNNNNNNNNNNNNNNNNNNNNNNNNNNNNNNNNNNNNNNNNNNNNNNNNNNNNNNNNNNNNNNNNNNNNNNNNNNNNNNNNNNNNNNNGGAUCCGGUGUGAGGUGGCCGGUGGAGGCAGGGCUUCGACCAUGGAGGUGCCGGGGCUGGUGACCGCGGCGUGACAGAGUCCGGAGGAGGAGCUGGUAGGGGCGAGGAGGGCCGGCCGGAGGUGGAGGAAGGCAGUGGUGGCCGGCCGGUGGUGGAGAAGCGGCCGACGCAGGUGGGGGUCAAGGUGGCCACGGGAAGGAGGACUCGGUGGAGUGGGAACGAGGGAAGGGAGGCGGCCUGAGGUAGGGCCGCCGAAGGGCUGGCCGGAGGAGGCGGAGGGAGGGGCCUCGGUGGUUGCUGCGUGGGGUGAGGGUUUGGUCGUGGGGUGGGGUGAGCUCGUGCUGGCGCUCGAGCACUGGGGCGAGCGAGGGAAGGCCAGGGAGGCGCGGGCUAGCGAGGGAACGAGGGAGCCAGCGAUUGGGAGAGGCGGGUGGAGCGAGCCCCUUAUGGCCAGGGGCGAUGGGAGUGGGGGCUCGUCGGCGCAGGGAGGAAGUGGGGAGUGGGGUGAGGGGGAUUUAGGGUUUGGGGCAGGGAUUAUAUACCCCGGGUAGGUGGGCCGGCUCGGGUAGAAUUAGGUGGGUUGGGCCGGCCCAGGUAGGGGGUGGGGGUUUGUUUUGUUUUCUUUUCGUUUUAUUUUAUCUACAGUUUUAGAAUUAUUUUAUUUUAGUGAAAUUUAACACCCACCAACUUAAUAAUUCCUAAAGGAAAUUUUCCUAAGUAAUAUUUGACAAACUUCAAACAUUUUUAUUUUUCUUUAUAUUGAAAACUUUUAUCAUUCGAUUUUAUUUUGUAUUUUGAAUUUUACUCGGUUUGAACUAACACGAGAUUAACGAUGGUAAUCAUGGUGACAUGGCAUCAUUAGCGCGGGAUAACUGUAGCUUAACUACAUACAACAAUGUAGAAAAACUAAGGAUGUCACAACUCUCCCCUACUAAUAAGAAUUCUCGUCCCGAGAAUUAAGAGGUAGAACGAAAUAGCUCGGGGUAUUCAUCACGAAGAUGAUUCUCGCAUUCCCAAGUGGCUACAUCUUCAGAAUGAUUUGACCAUUGCACUUUAAGGAACUUGGUGACUUUGCGAUGAGUUUGAUGUUCAGCCUGGUCGAGAAUGUGGACCAAAUGCUCUUUAUAAGAAAGGUUUUGUUGCAGCUCAAGCAUAUCAUGAUCCACUGCUCGAAUAUCAUCCUUGAAGCAGCGACGAAGCUGUGACACAUGGAACACAUCGUGAACCUGAGAAAGGUUUGGUGAUAGUUCCAACUGAUAAGCUACUCUUCCACGCCUUUCGAGAACAGUGAAAGGACCAAUAUAGCGAGGAGCUAACUUUCCCUGGAUCCCAGAAUGGUGUGCGCCUCUCAUUGGUGUGACACAAAGAUAAGCCUUUUCGCCAGGUAGAUAGACCAUAUCUUGAUGAUGACGGUCAUACUGACUCUUCUGACGAGUCUGAGCAGCCUUCAGAUUGUCAUGGAUAAUGCGGACUUGAUAUUUGGCAUGGUGGAAUAUCCGGAUCAAAGAAUGAUCGUUCCAUUGGACGGUGGCUUCGGAAUUUCAUAUGAUGCCAAGUGCAAAGGAUACUUUGUAUUCAAAAGAUGCACAUGAGAGUGAGGUUUCGAUCCUGUGAAACUUUGGGUUAUGGGUCCACCAUGUGGGCCGAGAGUAGGCAGAGGGGUGACAUCUUGUACGGUAUUGGUAGCAAGACAUGUCAUAGGAUAACCUGUCAGUUAUGUUGGCAACAACAUCGGUACCAAGGGUGGGGGACAAAUAGAACCAUUUUCCUGCUCGUUGGAACGAGGCAGACCAAUAGGCAAAGUUCUCUUCCAUCGGGGGCUACCGAAAUGAUAUCCACAAGAGUAACAGGGUCUUAUUGACAGAGUUGUAUACCGAGGUUGUUACCUAAGUAGGGAAUUAACACUGCUUAAAUGAGUUCAGAUUCAAGAGAGGUCAAACUGACCAUUGGGAAGGAAAAGGUGAUCGUCACGUCAAAUAGACCAAUGGAAAGGAAAAUGUGUUCACACACACAAGUAUUAGAGCAUACCAUUCCCGAGAAAAAUAGGGUAUGGUAUACGUGAUAUGUCAUCAAGUACAUAAUAUUUAGAUAAAGAGGCAAGAAGAAUCAUGAUCUUUACCCAUACCAUACAAUUUAGAUAAUUGAUCAGGAACAAUUUAGGAUUGCGCUUCCAAUGUUCCCGUUGACAAUUGAAGUACCACAUUCGUGUUUUGGGAUAGCAUUGACAUGGUCAUACGAUAAAGGUCGGACCUUGGGUAUACAAAAUGAUCCAUGAGGAACAACUAAAAAAAGUUACUCAUACAAUUUCCUCACGGGAGAAUGGUUAACCUUACUAAGGGAGAUAUUAUAUCAAUAGGUCCUUCGGCCCGGUGUACUAGACAAGACAUCAUCGUACCAGGUUACAUAAGACCAAAGUUAUAAUUAUUAGGAAAUGUCUCAAACAUCAUAUCUACCCGAGAUUCAGAUCUGAUUGGUGUUAGGGCACCUCAGACUCAAGAUGCCUGAGAAGAAAAGAUGAACAUGCAAGAUUCUCAUGAUAUGAGCGACACAAGCAAUUCUUGAAUCAUGAGUUCGAUUGUAAGACACAUGAACAAAAUGUCAAGACAUUCGUGUCCACAUGGAGUUCUUACAACACAAUGCAACAGAGUUCUGAUUUGAGAACCAUCAUCGAGGAUAUCAAGGCCCUUGUGUAAGCCUCAAUUAGCUCUUAUGAAGGAACUUAUUUUGCUUGAUAAAAUCAGUCAGUGGCUUGGUGCUACUUCUCAAACAACAACGCCAGAAAUUGACACGUUGAUGGAGACUUGCUUGUGUUGGUUUUUCCCUUGAAGAGGAAAGGUGAUGCAGGACAGGAGCAGUAAGUAUUUUCCUCAGUUUGAGAACCAAGGUAUCAAUCCAGUAGGAGAAUCUCGUCAAGUCCAGAGUACCUGCGCAAACACAAAAGAGCUUGCACCCAACGCUAUAAAGGGGUUGUCAAUCCCUUCAAGAUUGAUUGCAAAGUGAGAUCUGAAGGUGGAAAGUGCAACGAAGUAAAAGAGUAAGACUGAAAAUAUGGUGUGAAGUAGAACCGGGGGCCAUAGUGUUCACUAGAGGCUUCUCACAAAAUAGCAAAUAUUACGGUGGGUGAACAAAUUACUAUCGAGCAAUUGAUAGAACCGCGCAAAGUCAUGACGAUAUCUAAGGCAAUGAUCAUACAUAUAGGCAUCACGUCCGAGACAAGUAGACCGAUACUUUGUGCAUCGACUACUAUUACUCCACACAUCGACCGCUAUCCAGCAUGCAUCUAGUGUAUUGAGUUCAUGACAAACAGAGUAACGCCUUAAGCAACAUGACAUGAUGUAGAGGGAUAAACUCGAACCAAUGAUGAAACCCCCAUAUUUUUACCCUCGAUGGCAACAACACGAUGCGUGCCUCGCUACCCCUUCUGUCACUGGGUGAGGUCACCGCACGGUAUGAACCCAAAACCAAGCACUUCUCCCAUUGCAAGAAUCAUAGAUCAAGCUGGCCAAACAAAACCCACAACUCGAAGAGAAUUACAAGGAUAUGAAAUCAUGCUUAUAAGAGAUGAGAAAAAACUCAAAUAAGAUUCAUAGAUAAUAUGAUCAUAAAUCCACAAUUCAUCGGAUCUCGACAAACACACUGCAAAAGAAGAUUACAUCGGAUAGAUCUCCAUGAAGAUCAUGGAGAACAUUGUAUUGAAGAUCCAAGAGAGAUACGAAGCCAUCUAGUUACAAGCUAUGGACCCGUAGGUCUAUGGUGAACUGCUCACGCAUCAUCGGAGAGGUCAUGGUGUUGAUGAAGAAGCCCUCCGUAUCCGAAUCCCCCCUCCGGCAGGGCACCAGAACAUGCCCCAGAUGGGAUCUUGCAGAGACAGAAGCUUGCGGCGGCGGAAAAGUACAUUCGAUGAUCUCCUGAUUUUUUUCUGGAAUUUUUGGGAAUAUAUAGGCGAAAGACCUAGGGCAGAGGAGGCCCAGGGAGCCCACAAGCAUGGGAGGCGUGGCCCCCUGGCCACGGCUAGGGGGCUUGUGGGGUCCCUGGUGGCCCCCUGCCUUGGUUCUCAAGUUCCCCGAUCCUUUGUUGUUUCAGAAAAAAUCUUUUUGGAAGUUUCAUUCCGUUUGGACUCCGUUUAAAAUCCUCCUCUGAAAAGGGUCAAAAACACAAAAAAAACAGGAACUGACACUUGGCACUGAGUUAAUAAGUUAGUCCCAAAAAAGAUAUAAAAGGCAUAUAGAACAUCCAAAGUUUGACAAGAUAAUAGCAUGAAACCAUCAAAAAUUAUAGAUACGUUGGAGACGUAUCAAUCAUCCCCAAGCUUAACUCCCGCUCGUCCUCGAGUAUGGAAGUGAUAAAGACUGAAUUUUUGGUGUGGAAUGCUACCUAGCAUAGUUGUCCUUUGUAACUUCUUUCAUGUGACAUGAAUGUUCAGAUCCGUAAGAUUCAAAACAAUAGUUUGCUAUUGACAUGAAAACCAUAAUAUUUUAAGCAAACUAGCAAGGUAAUCAUGAACUUUCGAAAUAACAAGGGCAAAGAAAGUUAUCCCUACAAAAUCAUAUAGUCUGGCUAUGCUCCAUCAUCCCCACACAACUAAUUUAAAUCAUGCACAACCCCAGUAUUGGCCAAGUAAUUGUUUUCGCACUCUUACUUACUCAAACCUUUUUCAACUCUCACGCAAUACAUGAGCGUGAGCCAUGGAUAUAGCACUAUGGUGGAAUAGAGUGUGGUGGUGCUUGUGAGACAAAAAGGAGGAGAUGGUCACAUUGACUCAGCGUAAUAAAGGGCUAUGGAGAUGCCCAUUAAUAGAUAUCAAUGUGAAUAAGUAGGGAUUGCCAUACAAAGGAUGCACUAGAGCUAUAAGUAUGUGAAAGCUCAAAAGGAGAACUAGUGGGUGUGCAUCCAACUUGCUUGCUCACGAAGACCUAGGGCAAUUUGAGGAAGGCCAUCAUUGGAAUAUACAAGCCAAUUUAUAUAAUUAAAAUUCCCACUAGCAUAUGGUGGUGACGAAACGAGAGGCUCUCAAUCAUGAAGAACACGGUGCUAUUAUGAAGCACAAGUGUGGAAAAAGAUAGUAGCAUCGUCCCUUCUCUCUUUUUCUCUAUUUUUUUUAUUUGCGUUCUUGGGCCUCUUUUUUUUCUCUUUUUUUAUUUGAGAUCUUUGGCCUCCUUUUUUUAUUUCCUCACAUGGGACAAUGCUCUAAUAAUGAUGACCAUCACACUUUUAUUUACUCACAGGUCAAAGCUCAGAACGAUGAUGACUAUAGGAAAUGCCUCCGGCAGUGUACCGGGAUGUGCAACGAUCUAGCUUGGCGUAUGACGUUGAAACAUCUCGCUAGCUAUCUUACGAUCAUGCAAUGGCAAUAUGAGAGUGACGGAACAAGUCAUGAGAUGGAAUGGUGGGAGUUGCAUGGCAAUAUAUCUCGGAAUGGCUAUGAAAAUGCCAUAGUAAGUAGGUAUGGUGGCUGUAUUGAGGAAGGCAUAUGGUGGGUUUGUGUACCGGCGAAAAUUGCGCGGUACUCAAGAGGCUAGCAAUGGUGGAAGGUGAAAGUGCAUCUAUACCUGGACUCACAUUAGUCAUGAAGAACUCACAUACUUGUUGCGAAAGUUUUUAUUAGUAAUCAAAACAAAGUGCUAAACGCAUACUCCUAGGGGAAGGGUUGGUAGGUGUUAACCAUCGCGCGAUCCCGAGCUCAACACAAAGGAUGACAAUCAAUAGAUCAAUUAUGCUCCGACUUCCUAACAUAGCGGUUCACCAUACGUGCAUGGUACGGGAAUCACUAACUUCAACACAAGUAUUUCUAGGUUCACAACACCCUACUAACACAACUCUUAAUAUUACCAAAUCCACGUCUCAAAACUAAUUGAGAGGAAUCAAAACUUCUCUUUCUACUCAAUGCACAUGAAGAUGGAGGUUUUUGUAUCCUCUUUGGGUACCUAUCACCUUUGGGACUACUUUCAUAGAAUAAGCCAACUACCAAGUCACACACCGUUGUGCUCUAAAAGAUCUAAGUGAAGCACAUAGAGCAAAAUUAUCUAGCUCAAAAGAUAUAAGUGAAGCAUGAUGAGCAUUCUAGCAAAAUCACGAUGAGUGAAUGUCUCUCUCAAAAUGUAUGCAGCAAGGAUGAUUGUGACACAACAAAAAUAAAAGACUCCUACGGUACAAGACGCUCCAAGCAAAACACAUAUCAUGUGUUGAAUAAAAAUAUAGCUCAAAGUAAUGUUACCGAUGGAUUGAAGACGAAAGAGGGGAUGCCUUCCCGGGGCAUCCCCAAGCUUAGGCUUUUUGGUGUCCUUGAAUUUAGCUUGGGAUGCCUUGGGCAUCCCCAUGCUUGAGCUCUUUCCACUCCUUAUCUCUUUGUCCAUGAGAACAUCACCCAAAACCUGAAAACUUCACAACACAAAACUUAAACAGAAACUCGUGAUAACAUUAGCACAAGAAAACAAACUACCACCUCUUUAGGUACUGUAGCAAUCUUGAUUUCUAUUUAUAUUGGUGUUAGGUUACUGCAUUCUCACUUUUCCAUGGCUAGUACCCCCGAUACUAUCCAUAGUUUCAUCAAAACAAGCAACCAACUCAACAAAAACAGAAUCUGUCCAAACAGACUAGUUUGUAGGAAUCUGUAUACUUCGUAUACUUUUGGUACCUCAAAAAUUCUAAAACAUUACAACUACCUGGGAAAAAGGCAUAUCAACCAGCAGCAAAAAGAAUAAACUCAACAACUCUUUCUGAAUAAAAAUUAAAAAUAAUUUCGUGAGCGAAUAGUUUCUGUCUUUUUCAAGUACAAUCAAACAACCAUCACCAAGACUAGUCAUAAAGGUUUUGCUUGGCUCAAACACAAAAAGAAACACAAAAGACACUAUCAUAACAGAAUUAUGAUGGCGUGGACGCAACAAGACAUAAAGAAAAAGAUAAAUUCAUUGGGUUGCCUCCCAACAAGCGCUAUUGUUUAACGCCCUUAGCUAGGCAUUGAUAAUUCAAUGAUGCUCACAUAAAAGAUAGCAAUCGGGCAUGAAGAGAGCAUCAUAAAGCAUGUGAAAAUCAUAUCUAAGUCUAACAUACUUCCCAUGCAUAGGCAUUUUAUAGGAAAACAGAUUGUCAAGACAACCAAUAGUUACCAUAUGCAAGGAAGAAGAAAGAGACAAUAUCAAUCUCAACAUAACGAGAGGUGAUUUGGUAACAUGAAAGUUUCUACCACAAUAUUGUCAUCUCUCAUAGCAAUUACAUGUGGGAUCAUAAUCAAAUCCAACAAUAUAGCUAUCCCAUAGGAUAUUCUUUUCAUGAUCCACAUGCAUGCAAAGUUGACGCUCUUCAAAAAUAGUGGGAUUAUCAUCAACUAAAGUCGUGACUUCUCCAAACCCACUUUCAAAAUUAUUGCAAAUAUCAUAUUCAUCAUGAGGUUUAUUUUUUUUGAAGAUCAUAAGAAAAAUCAUCACCCCAUUCAUGAUCAUUGCAACAAGUAGAGGACAUAGCAAAACUAGCAUCCCCAAGCUUAGAGUUUUGCAUAUUUUAUCAUGAUUAUCACUAAUAGAAUUUAUAGUGGAACCAUUGCAAUCAUGAUUUUCAUUCAAGGAGCCCUCGUGAAUCACUUCAUAAAUUUCUUCAUCAUAAUUUUCAGAUUCACGCAUCUCAAGCAAAACUCCAUAGAGAAAGUCAAGUGCACUCAACUCACUAGCAAUUGGAUCAACAUAAUUGGAUCUCUUAAAGAGAUUAGCAAGUGGGUGAGGAUCCAUAUCACUAGAUUUUCAGCAAGCGAAGAUGCAAGCAUAUUGAAGGCACAUAGCACACAAGCAAAGGAAAGGCAAACGAAAAAGGCAAAACUUUUGUAAAUUUUGUUUUUUUCAAAAGUGGGGGAGAGGAAAACGAGAGGCAAAAAAGUAAAUGAAAGAGAUGAGUUUGCGACACUUACUUGGAUGAGUUCUUGACUCGAUCCUCCCCGGCAACGGCGCCAGAAAUCCUUCUGCUACUUCUCAAACAACGGCGCGAGAAAUUGACACGUUGACAGAGACUUGCUUGCGUUGGUUUUUCCCUUGAAGAGGAAAGGGUGAUGCAGCACAGGAGCAGUAAGUAUUUACCUCAGUUUGAGAACCAAGGUAUCAAUCCAGUAGGAGAAUCUCGUCAAGUCCAGAGUACCUGCGCAAACACAAAAGAGCUUGCGCCCAACGCUAUAAAGGGGUUGUCAAUCCCUUCAAGAUUGAUUGCAAAGUGAGAUCUGAAGGCGGAAAGUGCAACGAAGUAAAAGAGUAAGACUGAAAAUAUGGUGUGAAGUAGAUCCGGGGGCCAUAGUGUUCACUAGAGGCUUCUCUCAAAAUAGCAAAUAUUACGGGGGGUGAACAAAUUACUGCCGAGCAAUUGAUAGAACCGCGCAAAGUCAUGACGAUAUAUAAGGCAAUGAUCAUACAUAUAGGCAUAACGUCCGAGACAAGUAGACCGAUACUUUCUGCAUCCACUACUAUUACUCCACACAUCGACCACUAUCCAGCAUGUAUCUAGUGUAUUGAGUUCAUGACGAACAGAGUAACGCCUUAAGCAAGAUGACAUGAUGUAGAGGGAUAAACUCAAACCAAUGAUGAAAACCCCAUCUUUUUACCCUUGAUGGCAACAACAUGAUGUGUGCCUCGGUACCCCUUCUGUCACUUGGUGAGGUCACCGCACGGUAUGAACCAAAAACCAAGCACUUCUCCCAUUGCAAGAAUCAUAGAUCAAGCUGGCCAAACAAAACCCACAACUCGAAGGGAAUUACAAGGAUAUGAAAUCAUGCAUAUAAGAGAUCAGAAGAAACCCAAAUAAGAUUCAUAGAUAAUCUGAUCAUAAAUCCACAAUUCAUCGGAUGUCGACAAACACACCGCAAAAGAAGAUUACAUCGGAUAGAUCUCCAUGAAGAUCAUGGAGAAAUUUGUAUUGAAGAUCCAAGAGAGAGAAGAAGCCAUCUAGCUACUAGCUAUGGACCCGUAGNNNNNNNNNNNNNNNNNNNNNNNNNNNNNNNNNNNNNNNNNNNNNNNNNNNNNNNNNNNNNNNNNNNNNNNNNNNNNNNNNNNNNNNNNNNNNNNNNNNNNNNNNNNNNNNNNNNNNNNNNNNNNNNNNNNNNNNNNNNNNNNNNNNNNNNNNNNNNNNNNNNNNNNNNNNNNNNNNNNNNNNNNNNNNNNNNNNNNNNNNNNNNNNNNNNNNNNNNNNNNNNNNNNNNNNNNNNNNNNNNNNNNNNNNNNNNNNNNNNNNNNNNNNNNNNNNNNNNNNNNNNNNNNNNNNNNNNNNNNNNNNNNNNNNNNNNNNNNNNNNNNNNNNNNNNNNNNNNNAUCCGAAUCCCCCCUCCGAGAGGGCACCAGAACGUGCCCUAGAUGGGAUCUUGCGGAGACAAAUGCUUGCGGCGGCGGAAAAGUACUUUCGAUGAUCUCCAGAUUUUUUCGGAAUUUUUGGGAAUAUAUAGGAGAAACACCUAGGGCAGAGGAGGCCCAGGGAGCCCACAAGCCUGGGAGGCGCGUCCCCCUGGCCGCGGCUAGGGGGCUUAUGGGGUCCCUGGUGGCCCCUGCCCUGGUUCUCAAGUUCCCCGAUCGUCUUCUGUUUCGGGAAAAAACUUUUUGGAAGUUUCGUUCCGUUUGGACUCCGUUUAAAAUCCUCCUCUGAAAAGGGUCAAAAACAUGGAAAAAACAGGAACUGGCACUUGACACUGAGUUAAUAAGUUAGUCCCAAAAAAGAUAUAAAAGGCAUACAAAACAUCCAAAGUUUGACAAGAUAAUAGCUUGAAACCAUCAAAAAGUAUAGAUACAUUGGAGACGUAUCACUUGGCGUGCUAAGAGAAGUUAUAUGAAGUGAAGAUAACAAUUCUUCAACACAUAUAUCACUUCGCACAUGCGUGAAUGAUUUGGCAUUUCCCGAGAGGAAGCGAAACAAAACUUUCACAUAUUCACGUCGGCAAGAGUGCACGUGAACCUUGGGAAAACACUUAUUCUUAUCAAAUAUAUUCUUCAUGAGCUAGGCACAAGGAUAGUGCUUUCCAAAGCUUCAUCACGAACCAUGGUGAAGUUGAGGGUGUGGCCGAUGGGUUCAACAACAAUCCCUCAAGAUUUCGAUGGGGAUGAAUUUCCAAAAUUAUAAUAUUAAGGAGAUAGCAUUCGUCAAAUCAAAUGGCAUAAUGUGGUAUGCUCGAGGGAAACAACAACAAUUAAACAUUGGUCAAAGGGUGCACUUAAAAAUACUGAAUGAGUAUCGCGAGCAUUGCUAGAAUGGUGAGUCGACAACCAACACACCAAGAAUGAAACUAUUAGUCAUUAACUUCAAGGCAAUAGGGUUGCGAGAAGUAUUGGAAUCACACACCAGAUUUCACUUGUUGAUAUUCCGGUUUGAAACAACACGGGACCAAGAAAUGGAUGGUGAUGGCGAGAAGUAUCACUAUAUCAAGAAUUCUCUAAGAGGUGCACCAAUGCUCACAACAUUCUUGACAUAAAAGAUGGUAAUACUCCAAGGUAGAGGAUAACAUAAGCUGAAUUAGCAAGGAACUCAAAGGACAACACAAAACACGAACACGUUUGUGUUGGAGGGAAGGCAAAAAGGUUUACCGUUGAUAGCACCAAUCAUUGAGAGGGAAGGAUAGUCCUUAUCAUCAAGAAUCUGAUUGAUACCCUGGAAGAGUUCAGACUGCUGAUGAUUGAUCAUGGCACAUUAGUCAAAAAGGUUCAUGAAGAUGUAAUCAUUCAGCAACGACAUCAAGUAGAGGAAUGAUGAAGCGAAAGGUUAUCGAAAUCAUAGAUAAGACCGCUAGCACCGAAUCAAAAUUGCCUUUCAAGACAACCAACAUGAUAUCAAAAAAUCCAAUGUAAGCUUAACGCACAGUUGGAAAUGUGUUCCGGGGAUGAAGGACAUAGACAACAUGGUCAAGCUCUAGCAUGACGAUGAUGAUAAAGCCUAACAACUUGGAACGACAUGAUCGAGUACAAUCUCAUAAGCAAAUAAUAUUACUAAGAGUUGUUGAAUUGCAAUGCGUACACAAUUCAGUUAUCAGUGUCCUUGAGUGUCCAACAACUCAAACACGAGGAAACUGGAAUCAAUGAAAUGUCAUAGUUGAUGAGUAACUCGUAAGAAGUUAUAUAGCUCCAUGAUAUUUUAGAGAUACCAGGGACAGUGCUGAGAGGUAGAUCAGAGUAGAGGUUAAACUAAUGUAUUGAUCUGUGGAAGACAAGCACUUUAACUUAUCUACGUAUGGGAUCAAAGAAGAAUAAUCAUGGUCGGAACCACGGUUGCAAAGUACAAAAUCACAGAUACAAGAUCAAAUCAUACAACGGAUGAUUAUUGAUACGACAAGUUUAUUAGAUAGGAUCAACGUCGUUUCCAUGGGCAUGAACACAAGUUCAAGGUCAACUCCCACUUCAUCAAUGCAUCACCUGUCAUUUACUCCUCGCCUUUGAUCAGGUUGUGGCUUUGAAAGAGUAUUCGGCAAAACACCAGAAGAUUAAUUCUCAUGAAAACUCUUUGGGUCAUAUUGAUAUAGGAAGGCAUAGGUUCAACCCAUCGGGGCAUUGCUACGGCAACAAAAGUCCUUCCCCGGCAACGCCAGGAAUUAUUCUUGCUACUUCUCUUGGUUGCGUCGGUUUUUCCCUUGAAGAGGAAAGGGUGAUGCAGCACAGGAGCAGUAAGUAUUUCCCUCAGUUUGAGAACCAAGGUAUCGAUCCAGUAGGAGGGUCUCGUCAAGUCCAGAGUACCUGCGCAAACACAAAUGAGCUUGCACCCAACGCUUCAAAGGGGUUGUUAAUCCCUUCAAGAUUGUUUGCAAAGUGAGAUCUGAAGGCGGAAAGUGCAACGAAGUAAAAAGUGUAAGGCUGGAAAUAUGGUGUGGAGUAUACCCGGGGGGCAUAGUGUUCACUAGAGGCUUCUCUCAAAAUAGCAAAUAUCACGGUGGGUGAACAAAUUACUGUCGAGCAGUUCAUAGAACCGCGCAAAGUCAUGACGAUAUCUAAGGCAUGAUCAUUCAUAUAGGCAUCAUGUGUGAGACAAGUAGACCGAUACUUUCUGCAUCCACUACUAUUACUCCACACAUCGACCGCUAUCCAGCAUGCUUCUAGUCUAUUGAGUUCAUGACAAACAGAGUAACGCCUUAAGCAAGAUGCCAUGAUGUAGAGGGAUAAUCUCAAACCAAUGAUGAAAACCCCAUCUUUUUACCCUUGAUGGCAACAACACGAUGCGUGCCUCGCUACCCCUUCUGUCACUGGGUGAGGUUACCGCACGGUAUGAACCCAAAACCAAGCACUUAUCCCAUUGCAAGAAUCAUAGAUCUAGUUGGCCAAACAAAACCCACAACUCGAAGAGAAUUGCAAGGAUAUGAAAUCAUGCAUAAGAGAGAUGAGAAGAAACUCAAAUAAGAUUCAUAGACAAUCUGAUCAUAAAUCCACAAUUCAUCGGUCUCGACAAACACACCGCCAAAAAUGAUUACAUCGGAUAGAUCUCCAUGAAGAUCAUGGAGAACUUUGUAUUGAAGAUCCAAGAGAGAUACGAAGCCAUCUAGUUACAAGCUAUGGACCCGUAGGUCUAUGGUGAACUACUCACGCAUCAUCGGAGAGGUCAUGGUGUUGAUGAAGAAGCCCUCCGUAUCCGAAUCCCCCUCUGGCAGGGCACCAGAACGUGCCCCAGAUGGGAUCUUGCAGAGACAGAAGCUUGCGGCGGCGGAAAAGUACUUUCGAUGAUCUCCUCAUUUUUUGUGGAAUUUUUGGGGAUAUAUAGGCGCAAAACCUAGGGCAAAGGGUGUCCAGGGGGCCCACAAGCCUGAGGGCUGCGACCUCCCUCCCUGGCCGCGGGGUGGGGGCUUGUGGGGACCGUGGGGCCACCCUGCCUUGGCUCUCAAGUCUCCUGAUCUUCUUCCGUUACGGAAAUAAUCUUUUCGGGGAUUUUAUUCUGUUUGGACUCCGUUUCAAAAUCUCCUCUGAAAGGGGUCAAAAACAUGGAAAAAACAGGAACUGACACUUGGCACUGAGUUAAUAAGUUAGUCCCAAAAAAUAUGUAAAAGGCAUGGAAAACAUCCAAAGUUUUACAAGAUAAUAGCAUGAAACCAUCAAAAAUUAUAGAUACGUUGGAGACGUAUCAAGCAUCCCCAAGCUUAACUCUUGCUCGUCCUCGAGUAGGGAAGUGAUAAAGGAUGAAUUUUUGAUGUGGAAUGCUACCUAGCAUAGUUAUCCUUUGCAACUUAUUUCACGCGACUUGAGUGUUCAGAUCCAUAAGAUUCAAAACAAUAGUUUUCUAUUGACAUGAAAACAAUAAUACUUCAAGCAAACUAGCAAGGUAAUCAUGAACUUUCAAAAUAACAAGGCCAAGGAAAGUUAUCCCUACAAAAUCAUAUAGUCUGGCUAUGCUCCAUCAUCCUCACACAACUAAUGUAAAUCAUGCACAACCCCGGUAUUGGCCAAGUAAUUAUUUUCGCACUCUUACUUUCUCAAACUUUUUAUAACUAUCACGCAAUACAUGAGCGUGAGCCAUGGAUAUAGCACUAUAAGUGGAAUAGAGUGUGGUGGUGGUUGUGAGACAAAAAGGAGGAGAUGGUCACAUUGACUCGGCGUAUCAAAAGUCUAUGGAGAUGCCCAUUAAUAGAUAUCAAUGUGAAUUAGUAGGGAUUGUCAUACAAGAGAUGCACUAGAGCUAUAAGUGUGUGAAAGCUCAAAAGUAAAACUAGUGGGUGUGCAUCCAACUUGCUUGCUCACGAAGACCUAGGGCAAUUUUGAGGAAGCCCAUCAUUGGAAUAUACAAGCCAAGUUAUAUAAUGAAUAUUCCCACUAGCAUAUGGUAGUGACAAAGCAAGAAGCUCUCAAUCAUGAAGAACAUGGUGCUAUUAUGAAGCACAAGUGUGGAAAAGGAUAGUAGCAUUGUACCUUCUCUCUUUUUCUCUUUUUUUUCAUUUAGGCUCUUAGGCCUCUUUUUUUUUCUAUUUUUUUUAUUUUUUGUUGGGAUCUUUGGCCUCUUUUUUUUAUUUCCUCAUAUGGGACAAUGCUCUCAUAAUGAUGAUCAUCACACUUUUAUUUACUCAUAGCUCAAAGCUCAAAAUGAUGAUGACUCAAUAGGAAAUGCCUCUGACAGUGUACCGGGAUUUGCAACGAUCUAGCAUGGUGUAUGAUGUUGAAGCAUCUUGCUAGCUAUCUUACGAUCGUGCAAUGGCAAUAUGAGAGUGACGACACAAGUCAUGAGACGAAAUGGUGGGAGUUGCAUGGCAAUAUAUCUCGGAAUGGCUAUGAAAAUGCCAUUGUAGGUAGGUAUGGUGGCUGUUUUGAGGAAGGCAUAUGGUGGGUUUGUGCACCGGCGAGAAUUGCGCGGCACUAAAGAGGCUAGCGAAGGUGGAAGGUGAAAGUGCAUCUAUACCAUGGACUCACAUUAGUCAUGAAGAACUCACAUACUUGUUGCGAAAGUUUUUAUUAGUAAUCGAAACAAAGUGCUAAACUCAUACUCCUAGGGGAAGUGUUGGUAGGUGUUAACUAUCGCGCGAUCCCGACCUCAACACAAAGGAUGACAAUCAAUAGAUCAAUUGUGCUCCAACUUCCUAACAUAGCGGUUCACCAUACGUGCAUUCUACGGGAAUCACUAACUUCAAUACAAGUAUUUCUAGAUUCACAACACCCUACUAACAUAGCUCUUAAUAUUACCAAAUCCACGUCUCAAAACUAUUUGAGAGGAAUCAAAACUUCUCUUUCUACUCAAUGCACAUGAAGAUGGAGGUUUUUUGCAUCCUCUUUCGGUACCUAUCACAUUUGGGACUACUUUCAUAGCAUAAGCUAACUACCAAGUCAUGUACCGCCGUGCUCUAAAACAUAUAAGUGAAGCACAUAGAGCAAACGUAUCUAGCUCAAAAGAUAUAAGUGAAGCACUAUGAGCACUCUAGCAAAAUCAUGAUGAGUGCAUGUCUCUCUCUCUCUCAAAAAGGUGUGCAGCAAGGAUGAUCGUGACACAACAAAAAGAAAAUACUCCUACGAUACAAGACGCUCCAAGCAAAACACAUAUCAUGUGGUGAAUAAAAAUAUAGCUCCAAGUAAUGUUACCAAUGGAUUGAAGACGAAAGAGGGGAUGCCUUCCCGGGGCAUCCCCAAGCUUAGGCUUUUUGGUGUCCUUGAAUUUGGCUGGGGAUGCCUUGGGCAUCCCCAAGGUUGAGCUCUUUCCACUCCUUAUCUCAUCAUCCAUGAGAACAUCACCGAAAACUUGAAAACUUCACAACACAAAACUCAAACAGAAACUCGUGAUAACAUUAGCACAAGAAAACAAACUACCACUUCUUUUGGUACUGUAGCAAACUUGAAUUCUAUCUAUAUUGGUGUUGGGCUACUGUAUUCUCCAUUUUCCAUGGCUAGUACCCCCCGAUACUAACCAUAGUUUCAUCAAAACAAGCAACCAACUCAACAAAAACAGAAUCUGUCAAAAACAGACCAGUCUGUAGCAAUCUAUAUACUUCGUAUACUUCUGGUACCUCAAAAAAUCUGAAAAUUACGACUGCUUGGGGAAAAGGCAUAUAAACCAGCAGCAAAAAGAAUCAACUCAAAAGCUCUUCCUGAAUAAAAAUGAAAAAUCAUCUCGUGAGCGAAAAGUUUUUGUCUUUUUCCAGCACGAUCAAACAACCAUUACCAAGACUAGUCAUAAAGGUUUUUCUUGGCUCAAACACAAAAAGAAACACAAAAAACACAAUCACAACAUAAUUAUGAUGGUGUGGACGCAACAAAACAGAAAGAAAAAGAUAAAUUAAUUGGGUUGCCUCCCAACAAGCGCUAUUGUUUAACGCCUUUAUCUAGGCAUAAAUGCGAUAGAAUCACGUAUUGUCGUCUUUGGUGCUCAAACCAUAAGUGGCCCUCAUCAUGGAUUCAUAAGGCAAUCUUAGUUUCUUUCUAGGAAAGUGUUCCAUGCCCUUCCUUAAAGGAAAUUGAAAUCUAAUAUUCCCUUCCUUCAUAUCGAUGAUAGCACAGAUAGUCCUUAGGAAAGGUCUACCAAGAAUAAUAGGACAUGUAGGAUUGCAAUCAAUGUCAAGCACAAUGAAAUCCACGGGUACAUAGUUCCUAUUUGCAAUAAUAAGAACAUCAUUGAUCCUUCCCAUGGGUUUCUUGACAGUAGAAUCCGCAAGAUGCAAAUUAAGAGAACACUCUUAAAUCUCAUUAAAACCCAGAACAUCACAUAAAGACUUUGGAAUCGCGGAAACACUAGCACCCAAAUCACACAAAGCAUUGCAUUCAUAGUUUUUGAUUUUGAUUUUGAUAGUAGGUUCCCACUCAUCAUCAAGCUUUCUAGGGAUAGAGACUUCCAAUUCAAGUUUAUCUUCAAGAGAUUUUAUCAUAGCUUCGACGAUAUGAUCGGUAAAGGCUUUGUUUUGGCUAUAAACGUGUGGAGAGUUUAGCAUGGAUUGCAUCAAGGAAAUGCAUUAAAUCAAGGAGCAACUAUCAUAAUUGAAUUCCUUGAAAUCCAAAGUAUUAAUUUCAUUACUACUCAAAGUUUUAAUAUUUUCUACUCCACUUUCAAUGCUUUUAGCAUCAAGAUAGAUGGACUCCGAAUCAUUGGGGUGUUUUUCAACCAAAGUGGAUUCAUAUCCAGCCCCAUCAUCAUUAGGUUUGACACAAGAAAACAAAGAUUCAAUGGGAGUCACACCAAGCACUUUAAGAUCUUCAUGAUUCUUAUCACGAGAACACGCCUUUUUAAGCCAUUCAUGUCUAGCACGAAUUUGGGCGGUUCUUUCUUUGCUCUCACUCAUGGAAACACACAUAGCUUUCAAAGUUUCAUAUUACUCUCUAGAUCAGAGGGUAAUCUAUUGUAAUUUCCAUGAGUAUUGUUGUAGGAGUUGCCAAAAUUAUUAGAGGAGUUACUAGGAAAAGGCCUAGGAACAUUGUUUCCUCUAAAAGCAUUGUUGUUGCCAAAGUUAUUCCUACCAAUAAAAUUAACGUCCAAGCUAGCGUUGCUACUCUCAAUCAAAGAAGACAAGGGCAUAUCAAUAGGAUCUAAAGGAGCACUUCUACUAGCAAUCAAAUUCAUUAACUCAUCCAUCUUAGCACUCAACGAGUUAAUUUCUUCUAUAGCGUGUACCUUCUUACUAGUAGGUGACCUUUCAGUGUGCCACUGAGAGUAGUUCGUCAUGAUGUUGUCUAAGAGCUUUGUGGAUUCCCCUAACGUGAUUUCCAUGAACAUUCCACCUCAGGCGGAGUCCAAGAUAUUUCUAGAAGCGAAAUUCAAGCCAGCGUAAAAGAUUUGAAUAAUCAUCCAAAGACUCAAGCCAUGAGCGGGACAAUUUCUAAUCAUUAAUUUCAUUCUCUCCCAAGCUUGUGCAACAUGUUCAUGAUCAAGUUGCUUGAAAUUCAUGAUAUCAUUACAGAGAGAGAUGAUCUUAGCCGGCGGAAAAUACUUGGAUAUAUAAGCAUCUUUGCACUUAUCCCAAGAAUCGAUACUAUUUUUGGGCAAAGAAGAAAACCAAGUUUUUGCGUGAUCUCGCAACGAGAAAGGAAAAAGCUUCAAUUUAAUCACGUCAUCAUCCACAUCUUUCUUCUUUUGCAUAUCGCAAAGCUCAAUGAAGGUAUUGAGAUGGGAUGCGGCAUCUUCACUAGGAAUGCCGGAGAAUUUCUAUUUCAUAACAAGAUUCAGCAAAGCGGCAUUGAUUUUGUAUGACUCCGCACUAGUGGCGGGAGCAAUCGGAGUACUAAUAAAAUCAUUAUUUUUAGUAUUCGAGACGUCACAAAGUUUGGUGUUUUCAUUCAUGGUGACUGAGGCAAGCAAGAAAGCACACGAGCGAACAAAGAGCAAGCGAGAGAAAGGCGAACGAAAAGGCAAACGAAAAAGGCAAACAAAAAAGGCAAAUUGGUGAAGUGGGGGAGAGGAAAACGAGAGGCAACUGGCAAACAAAGUAAAUGCAAGAGAUGAGUUUGCGACACCUACUUGGAUGAGUUCUUGAAUUGAUCUUCCUCCCCGGCAACGGCGCCAGAAAUUCUUUUGCUACGGCAACAGAAGUCCUUCCCCGGCAACGCCAGGAAUUCUUCUUGCUACUUCUCUUGUUUGCGUCGGUUUUUUCCUUGAAGAGGAAAGGGUGAUGCAGCACAGGAGCAGUAAGUAUUUCCCUCAGUUUGAGAACCAAGGUAUCGAUCCAAUAGGAGGGUCUCGUCAAGUCCAGAGUACCUGCGCAAGCACAAACGAGCUUGCACCCAACGCUUCAAAGGGGUUGUCAAUCCCUUCAAGAUUGUUUGCAAAGUGAGAUCUGAAGGCAGAAAGUGCAACGACGUAAAAAGUGUAAGGCUGAAAAUAUGGUGUGGAGUAGACGGUGGGGCCAUAAUGUUCACUAGAGGCUUCUCUCAAAAUAGCAAAUUCACGGUGGGUGAACAAAUUAUUGUCGAGCAACUGACAGAACCGCGCAAAGUCAUGACGAUAUCUAAGGCAAUGAUCAUACAUAUAGGCAUCACGUGCGAGACAAGUAGACCGAUACUUUCUGCAUCUACUACUAUUACUCCACACAUCGACCGCUAUCCAGCAUGCAUCUAGUGUAUUGAGUUCAUGACGAACAGAGUAAUGCCUUAAGCAAGAUGACAUGAUGUAGAGGGAUAAUCUCAAACCAAUGACGAAAACCCCAUCUUUUUACCCUUGAUGGCAACAACAUGAUGCGUGCCUUGCUACCCCUUGUGUCACUGGGUGAGGUCACGACACGGUAUGAACCCAAAACCAAGCACUUAUCCCAUUGCAAGAAUCAUAGAUCUAGUUGGCCAAACAAAACCCACAACUCGAAGAGAAUUGCAAGGAUAUGAAAUCAUGCAUAAGAGAGAUCAGAAGAAACUCAAAUAAGAUUCAUAGAUAAUCUGAUCAUAAAUCCACAAUUCAUCAAGUCUCGACAAACACACCGCAAAAGAAGAUUACAUCGAAUAGAUCUCCAUGAAGAUCAUGGAGAACUUUGUAUUGAAGAUCCAAGAGAGAGAAGAAGCCAUGUAGUUACUAGCUAUGGACCCGUAGUUCUAUGGUGAACUACUCAAGCAUCAUCGGAGAGGUCAUGGUGUUGAUGAAGAAGCCCUCCGUAUCCGACCCCCCCCUCCGGCAGGGCACCAGAACGUGCCCUAGAUGGGAUCUUGCGGAGACAGAAGCUUGUUGCGGUGGAAACGUACUUUCAAUGAUCUCCUGAUUUUUUGUGGAAUUUUUGGGGAUAUAUAGUCGCAAAAUCUAGGGAAAGGGUGUACAGGGGGCUGAGAAGCCUGAGGGCCGCGACCUCCCCCCUGGCCGCGGGUUGGGGGCUUGUGGGGCCCUUGGGCCCCCUGCCUUGGCACUCAAGUCUCCUGAUCUUCUUCCGUUACGAAAAAAAUUCUUUUUGGGGAUUUUAUUCCGUUUGGACUCCAUUUCAAAAUCUCCUCUGAAAGGGGUCAAAAACAUGGAAAAAACAGGAACUGGCACUUGGCACUGAGUUAAUAAGUUAGUCCCAAAAAAUAUAUAAAAGGCAUGCAAAACAUCCAAAGUUUGACAAGAUAAUAGCAUGAAACCAUCAAAAAUUAUAUAUACGUUGGAGACGUAUCAGGCAUCUUAGGAACAUAUAGCACAAACUUCAAGAGUAAUUAACACAUGCUUGACAACAGAGCAUGGCCGACAAAACCGUAGGAUACAAUUUAUCAGAAGGAGAAGACACAAUUUACCAAUGGCAUUAUGUAUCACGGGAACAAUAUCACAAGAAUUUUUUAAAUGUAAAGGAUUCCGCCAGAUAAUAACCCAACAAUGGGUCUGACGAUCCACAAAGGACCUCAUGUGAGUAUUGGUACUCAAUCAGAGGGAGAUAGGAUGCAAUGCAUCGGGUUAUAGAACAUCUGAAAAAUAUCGAUACUUAAUUACCAAAGGAAUUAGGAUUUCCAGGUUGGUGUAUCAUAAUCAGAUGCUCCGAUCAAAUACAAGUAAGUUGAAUGGACUUAGAUGGACAAUCAACCAAGUUUUGAUUUGUCGAGAACCAGCUCUGUCUGUAAGGACGUCUAAGACGGAAAGAUAAUUUAUGAGUAUCAACACAUGAUUGUGUGCAUUCACACAAAGGUAGAAUCAAUAAGAUCACAGGAAGAUCACAAAGGAUUUUAAUGAAUGCGACUAGACAUAUGGAUUUAACCAUUAUGCAAGCAGGUGAGAAAGGUUAAGAGCAAUAGGCUACUCAGGAUUUCGAAAGAUCAAAUAGCAAUUCGAAGAACUUUCGAAACCCAUGACAAGUGAUGACAGACGAAUCCCCGAUAAGAUAAUUCGUUGCAUCUUGCAAAACAAGAGCAAUUGUAAAGAAAGUAUGAACGCCAUUUGUAUGCAGUCAUCCAUAAGGGUUGACGGAGGAUUGGAAAUCGCAGAAGCGAUGAGCACCAGCUCUUGAGAGAACAUUGAUACGUCUCAAACGUAUCUAUAAUUUUUUAUGGUUUCAUGUUGUUAUCUUGUCAACUUUGGAUGUUUUAUAUACCUUUUAUAUCUUUUUUUGGACUAACUUAUUAAUUCAGUGCCAAGUGCGAGUUCCUGUUUUUUCUGUGUUUUUGACUCUUUUCAGAUCUGAUUUUGGAACGGAGUCCAAACGGAAUAAAAUCCCCGAAAUAAAUUUUUCUAGAACAGAAGAAGAUUGGGGGACUUGAGGGCCAAGGUAGGAGGCCCACAGGGAGCCCACAAGCCCUGUGGCUGCGGCCAGGGGAGGCCCACGAACACCAGGCUUGUGGCCUCCCUGGAGCUCCCCUGCCCUAGCUCUUUGGCCUAUAUAUUCCCUAAAAUCCCUGAAAAAAUCAGGGCGUCCACGAAACCACUUUUCCACCGCCGCAAGCUUCCGUUUCCACGAGAUCUCAUCUGGAGACCCUUCCCGGUGCCCUGCCGGAGGGGACUUUGGAGCUGGAGGGCUUCUACAUCAACAUCAUUGCCUCUGCAAUGACUCGUGAGUAGUCCACUUCAGACCUACGUGUCUGUAGUUAGUAUCUAGAUGGCUUCUUCUCUCUCUUGGAUCUUCAAUACAAAGUUCUCCAUGAUCUUCAUGGAGAUCUAUCCGAUGUAAUCCUCUUUGGCGGUGUGUUUAUCGAGAUCCGAUGAAUUGUGGAUUUGUGAUCAGAUUAUCUAUGAAUUAUAUUUGAGUCUUUGCUGAUUUCUUAUAUGCAUGAUUUGAUAUCCUUGUAAGUCUCUCCGAGUCUUGGGUUUUGUUUGGCCAACUAGAUCUAUGAUUCUUGCAAUGGGAGAAGUGCUUGGUUUUGGGUUCAUACUGUGCGGUGACCUUUCCUAGUGACAGAAGGGGAAGCAAGGCACGCAUCGUGUUGUUGCCAUCAAGGGUAACAAGAUGGGCUUUCAUCAUAGAUUUGAGAUUGUCCAUCUACAUCAUGUCAUCUUGCUUAAGGCGUUACUGUGUUCUUAUGAACUCAAUACACUAGAUGCAUGCUGGAUAGCGGUCGACGUGUGGAGUAAUAGUAGCAGAUGCAGGAAGUAUCGGUCUACUUUUUUUGGACGUGAUGCCUAUAUGUAUGAUCAUUGCCAGAGAUAAUGUCAUGACUUUGCGCGGUUCUAUCAAUUGCUCGACAGUAAUUCGUUCACCCACCGCCUACUCGCUUUCAUGAGAGAAGCCACUAGUGAACACUACGGCCCCCGGGUGUAUUCACAACUAUCAUCUCUGCUUUUACUUUUACUUUGCUUUAUUUACUUUUUGCUUUCAGUUCUCACUUUGCAAGCAAUCUAUAAGGGAUUGACAACCGCUUCAUAGCGUUGGGUGCAAGCUCUUUGUGUUUGUGCAGGUACUUGUGACUUGACGCGAUCCUCCUACUGGAUUGAUACCUUGGUUCUCAAACUGAGGGAAAUACUUACCGCCGCUGUGCUACAUCACCCUUUCCUCUUCAAUGGAACACCAACGCAAGGCUCCAAAGUCGCGGGGGAAUCCUUUGCAUAUUUGCCAAGGAAAUCCCUAUAGGCGUAGUCAGCAGCAGAAGGAUUUCUGGCGCCUUUGCUGGGGAGGAUCGCUUGCCGAGGAGUAUCAAGACAAGAAUAAUCUCCUAUCAACACGCCAAUUUCUGGCACCGUUGGCGAGGAGAGAUCAAGUCAAGAUCUAUCCAAGUAAGUGUCACAAACUCAUCUCUUGCAUUUACCUUUUUUGCCAGUUGCCUCUCGUUUUCCUCUCCCCCACUUCACAUUUGCCAUUUUCAUUUGCCUUUUGCCGUUUUCCUUUGCCAGUUUUCUUGCUUGCUUGUGUUCUUGUUUGUUUGUUGAAGUCAUCAUGGCUGAAAACACCAAACUUUGCGGCUUCUCGAAUACUAAUAAUAAUGAUUUUAUUAGUACUCCGAUUGCUCCCGCCACUAGUGCGGAAUCAUAUGAAAUCAACGCUGCCUUGCUGAAUCUUGUUCCUAGUGAAGAUGCCGCAUCCCAUCUUAAUACUUUCAUUGAACUUUGCGAUAUGCAAAAGAAGAAAGAAGAAAGAUGUUGUUAAAUUGAAGCUUUUUCCGUUCUCUUUGCGAGAUCGUGCAAAAACUUGGUUUUCUUAUUUGCCUAAAAAUAGUAUCGAUUCUUGGAAUAAGUGCAAAGAUGCUUACAUGUCCAAGUAUUUUCCGCCAGCUAAGAUUAUCUCUCUCCGUAACGAUAUCAUGAAUUUCAAGCAACUUGAUCAUGAACACGUUGCACAAUCUUGGGAGAGGAUGAAGUUAAUGAUUAGAAAUUGUCCCGCUCAUGGCUUGAGUUUGUGGAUGAUUAUACAAAUCUUUUACGCUGGUUUGAAUUUUGCUUCUCGCAAUAUCUUGGACUCCGCCUCAGGUGGAACAUUCAUGGAAAUCACGUUAGGAGAAGCUACAAAACUCCUGGACAAUAUCAUGACCAACUACUCUCAGUGGCACACUGAAAGAUCACCUGCUAGCAAAAAGGUACACGCUAUAGAAGAAAUUAACUCGCUUAGUGCUAAGAUGGACGAGUUGAUGAAUUUAGUUGCUAGUAGAAAUGCUCCUUUAGAUCCUAAUGACAUGCCACUAUCUUCCUUGAUUUAGAGUAGCAACGCUAGUUUGGACGUUAAUUUUGUUGGUAGGAACAAUUUUGGCAAUAACAAUGCUUUUAGAGGAAACNNNNNNNNNNNNNNNNNNNNNNNNNNNNNNNNNNNNNNNNNNNNNNNNNNNNNNNNNNNNNNNNNNNNNNNNNNNNNNNNNNNNNNNNNNNNNNNNNNNNNNNNNNNNNNNNNNNNNNNNNNNNNNNNNNNNNNNNNNNNNNNNNNNNNNNNNNNNNNNNNNNNNNNNNNNNNNNNNNNNNNNNNNNNNNNNNNNNNNNNNNNNNNNNNNNNNNNNNNNNNNNNNNNNNNNNNNNNNNNNNNNNNNNNNNNNNNNNNNNNNNNNNAAUGCUUUUAGAGGAAACUAUGUUCCUAGGCCUUUUCCUAGUAACUCCUCUAACAAUUAUGGCAAUUCCUACAACAACAGUUAUGGAAAUCAUAAAAAAUUACCCUCUGAUUUAGAGAGUAAUAUCAAAGAGUUCAUCAACUCUCAAAAGAUUUUCAAUGCGUCCAUAGAGGAAAAACUACUCAAAAUAGACGAUUUGGCUAAGAGGGUUGAUAGGAUGUCUUGUGAUAUUGAUGCUUUGAAAGUUAGAUGUGCUCCUCCGAAGGUCAACUUGGAUGAAACUUUAAAAGCUAUGCGUGUCUCCAUGAAUGAGAGCAAAGAAAGAACCGCCCAAAUUCGCGCUAAGCAUGAAUGGUUUAAAAGGGUGCGUUUUAGUGAUGCAAAUCACGAGGAUCUUAAAGUUCUUGGUGUGACUCCUCUUGAAUCUUUGUUUUCGCGUGUCAAACCUAUUGAUGAAGGGGCUGGAUAUGAAUACACUUUGGUUGAAAAACGCCCCAAUGAAGAGUAUUCUAGCUUGAAGCUUGAGCCAAUAUUAUUCCUUUCUUGCAUAUAGGGGCAUCUCCACAUAAACCUUAAGCCAUAGAUCUCCAUGGACUUUUCUUGAAGUAUCUUGGUAGAAGUGGUAGUCCAAGAGACAAUGUAUGUUGUCAUGAAUUAUGAAAAUCACCAAGGGAGCAUAUGUGCUUUCAAUCUCUCCCUUUUUGGUAAUUGAUGGCAACAAACAAUCAUAGCUUCAAAUAAAGAUAAUCAUAAGGAUAUGACAACUUUGAAAGAAACAUGACUAGUACAAGCUCCCCCUAAAUGUGUGCAAUCCCUUUUAAAGUAUAGUUGCUUUGGAAUGCAUGGGCACACACAAGGUAGCAGGACAAGACAAGUCAUAGACAUCCUGGCUAUAUGCAUCAAACAUAUGUAAAUGAAGAAGUUCCAUGUUCAAGUCUCCCUCUUGCAAACAGUAUGUGCAAGAAACAAGAGGUCAUCAUGAACAUGGAUAUGAUGCAUAUACUUACCUUGAGGAUCUUGAGCGUUUUGACAUAGGAGUACACUUGGGAAAACAGAUGUUAGAUAACAAAAGAGUACCCUGUUGUAAAGAUGCAAAGAGCCUCAAAAAUACCAAGAAAUUGAAGACAUAUUGAAGAUAGGUUUUGAUAAAAGGAUACGUCUCCAAAGAACAAGAACUUUUCUCCCCUAAAGAUUAAUAUGUAGGGAUUCCUCUCCCCCUGAAUCUGGGAGUAGGCAGGGGAAAUAAGUUCAAACCAAUAAAUCCAUAUUUAUCUGUCUCCCCCUUAAUGUGUAAGGUUUGAUACAUCUCCCUAUAGGAAAAAUAUCUCCCCUUAGUGUUGUUUCUCCCUCUUUUCUAUAAGCUUCUUGGUGACAUUUCUCCCCUAUAAUAGGUUCAUUGAAUGGAAGCUUUGGUACUUUGAUAUGAUAUUUCUCCCCCUUUGGCAUAAAUUACCAAAAAGAAGGUCAGAGGGUAAGGGCUCACUGAGAGAAAGGGAUCCUGGAUUCUUCUUUCUGUUUGAAGGGCUCCUUGCAUUUGUCUUUCGCCCUUUGGUAUGAAUAAGAGUUCCUUGAAUUAUCUCCUCCUAUGUUAGGGAUCCUAGAUGAUUAUCCCUCUUAUAUAACAUGGGAUCACUGAAGUGUUUCUCCCCCUAGAGAAGUCCCCCCCCCCUAAAACUUACAUUUAGAAGAAAUUUUUAGAGCAAUAAUUUUUGUCAGAAAGAUCGGAGUCACCGAGGCUAAAUGGUUCGGUAGAACCGAGUUUGAUAUUCACGACUUUUGGGUGAAAUCGGUUGGACCGAGUUUCCCAAUUCCGAAAAAACGAGUUGCAAUGAUAGUCAACUCUUCAAUAGAAGAAUAGGCUGGACGGAAGAUUUGUUUAAAGAUUCCAAUUGUAAAAGAAGGUACUAAUUGAGAAAGAGAAACAAAAGUAAAAGUAAAACAAAGAGUUUUUUGUGUGUUUUUAGAGAUAUAAGAUAGAUACAUGCAAGUAGAUGAGAUUUGAAUGGUUCUAAGAGUGUGAAAGGUCAAAUGUGAACCAUACAAUGAUCACCAUCUAGAUGUGGGGCGGUGACAAAGUCACCUAUAUUACAGUAUUUGACUUGAGGAGUCAAGCAAGGAUGCUUGAUCAUAGGUCAUACUCAUCGUUAAGCGCGAAAUGGGGUUACCAUUUUUCGAUUAAGCUUUUCAAUGUCUUCAUAUCACCUGAGUUGCUUUACUCCAUGAAUUGGUGUAGAGCUUUAUCAAGGAUAUGUGUACAUACCUUCGAAUGAUGUUGAUGAUGUGGCAUGUAGGUGAACUUGUUGUGGAUGCUCAAAGUUGAUGAAGAUCAUCUUGAGUUUGGAGCAAUCCAUGUCGUUUUGGUUCACUUUUCACCUACAAUGGUUAGUCAUGCAAGGAAGACCAUAAUAUAUCCAAAUGACAAGAGUGAACAACUUCAACAAAUGGUAGUCAAGGAUAUGAUUUUGUUGUCUUCUUCCUUCAUCCGCGAAGAGGGGUUGUUGAUACUUGGCCAUGUCAAUAUUGCUUUUGAUUGGAGUUGAUGGCAAUAUUGUGGCGUGUAUUUCUUGCAAGUACAUACAAAAGGUUAGAUGCAAUACAAGGGAGCAUAGUUUCCAAGAUAUAAGAUAAUCAAAUAAAUGGCAUCAAGGAUUAGUUAGUCAAGCUCAUGCCCUUGCAUGCUUCCGAGUGAGUCUAGAUCAUUUGAAGCAUCAAUGAUGUUCAACUCACUCCCCAAAUGACAGAACACUUUCUCAUCAAGUGGUUUGGUAAAUAUAUCAGCUAGUUGUUUGUUAGUAAAAACAUGCUUGAGAUUGAUAUCUCCUUUAGCAACAUGAUCACGAAUGAAAUGAUGUCGCACUUCGAUGUGUUUUGUUCUAGAAUGUUGCAUAGGAUUAUAGUCAAUCUUAAUAGCACAUUCAUUGUCACACAAUAAUGGAACUUUUCUAACAUGAAUGCCAUAAUCCUUAAGCUUUUUAGUCAUCCAUAGUAAUUGAGCACAAGAUGAUCCAGUGGCAAUGUAUUCAGCUUCGACAGUUGAUAAGAAUACUGAGUUUUGUUUCUUGGAUGUCCAAGAGACAAGAGAUCUCCCAAGAGAUUGACAUGUACCUGAGGUGGAUUUUCUAUCAACCUUGCCUCCAACAUAGUCCGAGUCGGAAUAGCCAACGAGAUUCAAAGAAGAUCCCUUGAGAUACCAUAUGCCAAAGUUUGGUGUAUGUAUAAGGUAUCUCACUAUCCUUUUCACAGCCUAUAGAUGACACUCUUUAGGUGCUGCUUGAUAGUGAGCACACAUGCACACACUCAGCAUGAUGUCAGGACGGGAGGCACAUAGAUAUAACAAUGAACCAAUCAUUGAUCGAUAAACCUUUUGAUCAACGGGUUUGUCCUCCUUAGUGAGGUCAAGAUGUCCACUAGUAGGCAUGAGGGUCCUCAUACCUUUGCAUUCUUGCAUGUUGGACAUUCUGAUUAAGUCCUUGGUGUACUUCGUUUGAGAGAUAAACAUACCUUCUCUCAAUUUUUUGAUUUGCAAUCCAAGGAAAGAACUUCAGUUCACUCAUCAUAGACAUCUCAGACUUCUCUAACCUUAGCUUUCCAAACUUUUUACUAAAAUGUGGGUUAGUGGUACCAAAGAUAAUAUCAUACACAUAUAUUUGGCAAACAAAUAGUUUGCCAUUAACUCUUUUAGUGAAUAAUGUUGCAUCAAUUUUACCAAUCUCAAAACCCUUUUCAAGGAGAAACUUUGUUAGGCGUUUGUACCAAGCUCUAGGUGCUUGUUUGAGACCAUAUAAAGCUUUACAAAGUUUGUAAACAUGAUCAGCUUUCUUAGGGUUCACAAAACCAAGAGGUUGUUUAACAUAAACUUCCUCUUCAAUUUCUCCAUUGAGAAAGUCACUCUUAAUAUCCAUUUGGUAAAGAGUUAUAUCAUGGUGAUUGACAUAAGCUAGAAUAAUACGAAUGGCUUCAAGUCUAGCAAUAGGAGCAUAAGUCUCACCAUAGUCCAUACCUUCUACUUGCGUGUAUCCUUGGGCUACGAGACGUGCUUUGUUGCGUACAACUUGUCCAUCUUCAUCUUUCUUGUUCCGAAACAUCCAUCUUGUACGAAUGAUAUUCUGCCCGCCUUCAGGUUUUUCAACAAGUGUCCAUACUUGGUUCCUCCCGAAGUUGUGUAGCUCUUCGUGCAUAGCGUUCACCCAAUCUGGAUCUUGAAGAGCUUCUUCUACCUUCAAGGGUCCAGUACUAUAUAUGAAAGAAUAAUGCUCACAAAAGUUAGCUAAUUGAGAUUUAGAGCGAGUGAUUCUCCCGUUUUUUAUGUCACCGUAGAUUUGUUUUAAUGGAUGAUCUCUGUCCACUCUUCUUCUAAUUCUUGACAGCUUCUUCUUGUUGGAUGAAGGAGCUUCUUCUUCAUCGUCUUCAUCAUCUUGAAUGUUGUUGUUGACGUCAUCAUCUCCUUGGGCUGGUGGUGAGGAAGGUUGAGGUGGAUCAUCACGAUGUACUUCUUUCUCUUCUUCAUCAUGUCGUGUACUGCUUGUGAAUGCUUCCAUGCCAUUUUGCGGUUUUCCUUGACGCGAAGUGGGAGCUUCCGCUUGAGUUGAUGAAGUACUUUCCUUCACCUCCAUGGGACGAAUCUUGCCAGUAGCGAUGAAACCAGUCUCUCGUAAGCGUACGAGUAAUGUCGGUCCGAGCCGCUUCGAUCCAACAAUACCGCGGAAUCAAGAAAAGACUAAGGAGGGCAGAAAAUCGCACAUCACCGCCCACAAAAACUUUUGUGUUCUACUCGAGAUAACAUCUACGCAUGAACCUAGCUCAUGAUGCCACUGAUGGGGAACGUCGCAUGGGAAACAAAAAAUUUCCUACGCGCACGAAGACCUAUCAUGGUGAUGUCCAUCUACAAGAGGAGAUUUGGAUCUACGUACCCUUGUAGAUCAUACAAAAGGAAGCGUUAAGAAACUUGGUUGAUGUAGUGGAACGUCCUCACAUCCCUCGAUCUGCCCCGCGAACCAUCCCACGAACCGUCCCGCGAUCCGUCCCACGAUCCGCUCCGAUCUAGUGCCGAACGGACGGCACCUCCGCGUUCAACAGACGUACAUCUCGAUGAUGAUGUCCACCUUCUUGCUCAAGCAAGAGGGGUACGAGAGGUAGAAGAGUUCUCCGGCAGCAUGACGGUGCUCCGGUGGCGGUGAAGGAUCUACUCCCGCAGGGCUCCGCCCGAGCUCCGCAGAAACACGAUCUAGAGGAAAAACUGCGUGGCAUAGGUUCGAGCAGCACGUGGCAAAGUUGUGUCUCAAAAACCCUCAAUACCUCUAGUAUAUAUAGGAGGGAGGAAGGGGAGGAGGCAGCCUCAAACCCUCAAGGUUUGGCCGAAACUGGAGGUGGAGGAGUCCUACUCCAAUCCUACUUGGAGUAGGAUUCCACCUUCCCACUUGGAAACUCUUUCCACCUUGUGUUUUUUCCUUCUCAAACCUUAUGGGCCUUAGUGGGAACUUAUUCCAGCCCAGUAGGGGCUAGUUUAUCUCUUCACAUAGCCCAUGAGACCUAUUGGGGCGUUACACCCCUCCCGAUGGUCCCCGGCACCCCUCCCGGCACUCCCGGUACACUACCGAUGAGCCCGAAACUUUUCUGGUGACCAAAACAGAACUUCCUAUAUAUCAAUCUUUACCUCCGGACCAUUCCGGAGCUCCCCGUGACGUGCUGGAUCUCAUCUGGGACUCCGAACAACAUUCGGUUACCAACACCUAUAACUCAACUAUACCGAAACGUCACCGAACCUUAAAUGUGCAGACCCUGCGGGUUCGAGAACUAUGUAGACAUGACCCGAGACACUCCUCCAUCAAUAUCCAAUAGCGGAACCUGGAUGCCCAUAUUGGAUCCUACAUACUCUUCGAAGAUCUUAUCGGUUGAACCUUAGUGCCUAGGAUUCAUAUAAUCCCGGAUGUCAUUCCGUUUGUCCUUCGGUAUGUUACCUGCCCGAGAUUUGAUCGUCUGUAUCCGCAUACCUAUUUCAAUCUCGUUACCGGCAAGUCUAUUUACUCGUUCCGUAAUACAAGAUCCCGUGACUUACACUUAGUCACAUUGCUUGCAAGGCUUGUGUGUGAUGUUGUAUUACCGAGUGGGCCCCGAGAUACCUCUCCGUCACACGGAGUGACAAAUCCCAGUCUUGAUCCAUACUAACUCAACGGACACCUUCGGAUAUACCUGUAGAGCACCUUUAUAGUCACCCAGUUACGUUGCGACGUUUGAUGCACACAAGGUAUUCCUCCGGUGCCAGUGAGUUAUAUGAUCUCAUGGUCAUAGGAACAAAUACUUGACACACAGAAAACAAUAGCAAUAAAACGACACGAUCAAUAUGCUACGUUCAUAGUUUGGGUCAUGUCCAUCACAUGAUUCUCCUAAUGAUGUGAUCCCGUUAUCAAGUGACAACACUUGCCUAUGGCCAUGAAACCUUGACCAUCUUUGAUCAACGAACUAGUCAACUAGAGGCUCACUAGGGACAGUGUGUUGUCUAUGUAUCCACACAUGUAUUUGAGUUUCCAAUCAAUACAAUUCUAGCAUGGAUAAUAAACGAUUAUUAUGAACAAGGAAAUAUAAUAAUAACUAAUUUAUUAUUGCCUCUAGGGCAUAUUUCCAACAGUCUCCCACUUGCACUAGAGUCAAUAAUCUAGUUCACAUCACCAUGUGAUUUCAACGAAUCCAACACCCAUAUAGUUCUGGGGUUUGAUCACGUCUUGCUCAUGAGAGAGGUUUUAGUCAACGGUUCUGAAACUUUCAGAUCCGUGUGUUCUUUACAAAUCUUUAUGUCAUCUUAUAGAUGCUUUUACUACAUGCUAUUCUGAAAUACUCCAAAUAUCUACUCUACUAUACGAAUCCGUUUCACUACUCAUAGUUAUUCGGAUUAGUGUCAAAGCUUGCAUCGACGUAACCCUUUACGACGAACUCUUUAACCACCUCCAUAAUUGAGAAAAAUUCCUUAGUCCAUUAGUCACUAAGGAUAAAUUUGACCGUUGUUCAAUGAUUCAAUCCUGGAUCACUCGCUGUACCUCUUAACAGACUUGUGGCAAGGCACAUAUCAGGUGCGGUACACAACAUGGCAUACUGUAGAGUCUACGGCUAAGGCAUAGGGAACGACCUUCAUCCUUUCUCUUUCUUCUGUCGUGGUCGGGCUUUUGAGUCUUACUAAUAUUCACACCUUACAAUACAACCAAGAACUCCUUCUUUGCUGAUCUAUUUUGAACUCCUUCAAAAACUUGUCAAGGCAUGCAUUUCAUUUGAAAGUUCUAUUAAGAGUAUUGAUCAAUCUCUAUAGAUCUUGAUGCUCAAUGUUCAAGUAGCUCAAUCCAGGUAUUCCUUUGAAAAACUCCUUUCAAACAACCUUUUAUGCUUCACAGAAAUUCUACAUUACUUCUGAUCAACAAUAUGUCAACCACAUAUACUUAUCAGAAAUUCUAUAGUGUUCCCACUCACUUCUUUGGAAAUACAAGUUUCUCAUAAACCUUGUACAAACCCAAAAUCUUUGAUCAUCUCAUCAAAGUGUAUAUUCCAACUCCGAGAUGCUUGCACCAGUCCAUGAAAGGAUCGCUGGAGCUUGCAUACUUGUUAGUAUCCUUAGGAUUGACAAAACCUUCUGGUUGUAUCACAUACAAUCUUUCCUCAAGGAAACCGUCAAGGAAACAAUGUUUUGAUUUCCUAUGUGCAAUAUUUGAUAAAUAAUGCAACAACUACUAACAUAAUUCCAACAGACUUUUAGCAUCGCUAUGACUUAGAAAGUCUCAUCAUAGUCAACUAUUUGAUCUUGUUGGAUACAUCUUUGCGACAAGUUGAGCUUUUCUUAAUAGUGACUUAUCACCAUCAUCGUCUGUCUUCCUUUUAAAGAUCCAUCUUUACUCAAUAGUCGUACGACCAUCAAGUAGUUCUUCCAAAGUCUACAUGGAUCCUCUCUCGGAUUUCAUGGCUUCCAGCCAUUUGUCGGAAUCCGGGCCCACCAUCGCUUCUCCAUAGCUCGUAGGUUCAUUGUUGUUCAAGAACAUGAUCUCCAAGACAGGGUUACCGUACCACUCUAUAGUAGUACGCGGCCUUGUCGACCUACGAGGUUUGUAGUAACUUGAUCUCAAGCUCUAAUGAUCACCAUCAUCAGUUUCCACUUCAAUUGGUGUAGGCGCCACAGGAACAUCUUCCCGCGCCCUGCUACACACUGGUUGAAGUGACGGUUCACUAACCUCAUCAAGUUCCACCACCCUCCCACUCAAUUAUUUCGAGAGAAACCUUUCCUCGAGAAAGGACCCGUUCCUAGAAACAAACACAUUGCUUCCGGAUCUGAGAUAGGAGAAGUAUCCAACUGUUUUGGAUAUCCUAUGAAGAUGCUAUUAUCCGUUUUUGGGUUCGAGCUUAUCAGACUGAAACUUUUUCACAUAAGCGUUGCAGACCCAAACUUUUAAGAAACGACAACUUAGGUUUCUCCAAACCAUAGUCUAUACUGUGUCAUCUCAACGGAAAUACGAUGUGCCCUAUUUAAAGUGAAUGCGGUUGUCUCUAAUGCAUAACCCAUAAACGAUAGUGGCAAUUCAAUAAGAGACAUCAUAGUAUGCACCAUAUCUAAUAGGGCGUGUCUAUGACGUUCAGACACAUCAUCACACUGGUGUUCCAGGUGGCAUGAACUGCGAAACAAUUUUCACAUUGUCUUAACUGCGUACCAAAAACUCGUAACUCAGAUAUUCAUCUCUAUGAUCAUAUCGUAGACAAUUUAUCCUCUUGUCACGACGAUCUUCACUCUGAAAUAGCUUUGAACUUUUUAGUAUUUUAGACUUGUGAUUCAUCAAGUAAAUACUCGUGUAUCUACUCAAAUCGUCAGUGAAGUAAGAACAUAACGAUAUCCACUGCGUGCCUCAGCACUUAUUGGACUGCACACAUCAAAAAUGUAUUACUCCCAACAAGUUACUCUCUUGUUUCAUGUGGCAUGAUUUGCAUGUCUCAAGUGAUUCAAAAUAAAGUGAAUCCAAACGAUCCAUCCGCAUGGAGUUUCAUCAUGCGUUUUAUACCAACAUGACUCAAGUGGCAGUGCCAGAACUAAGUGGUACUAUCAUUAUUACUUUGUAUCUUUUGGCACCAAUAUUAUGAACAUGUGUAACACUACGAUCGAGAUUCAAUAAACCAUUGAGGGUAAUUAUUCAAGCAAACAGAAUAACUAUUAUUCUCUUUAAAUGAAUAAUUGUAUUGCAAUAAACACGAUCCAAUCAUGUUCAUGGUCAACGCAAACACCAAAUAACAAUUAUUUAGGUUUUACCACCAAUCCCGAUGAUAGAGGGAGCGUGCGAUGUUUGAUCACAUCAACCUUGGAAACACUUCCAACACGUAUCGUCACCUCGCCUUUAGCUAGUCUCCGUUUAUACCGUAGCUUUCAUUUCGAGUUACUAAUCACUUAGCAACUGAACUGGUAUCCAAUACCCUCGUGCUACUAGGAGUACUAGUAAAGUACACAUCAAUAUCACGUAUAUCAAAUAUACUUAUGUCGACUUUGCCAGCCUUCUUAUCUACCAUGUAUCUAGGGUAGCUACGCCUCAGUGACCAUUCCCCUCAUAACAGAAGCACUUAGUCACGGGUUUGGGUUCAAUUUUGGGUUUCUUCAUUAGAGCAGCAACUGGUUUGCUGUUUCAUGAAGUAUCCCUUCUAGCCCUUGCCCUUCUCGAAACUAGUGGUUUUACUAACCAUCAACAAUUGAUGUUCCUUCUCGAUUUCUACUUUCGCAGUGUCAAACAUUGCAAAUCACUCAAGGAUCAUUAUAUCUAUCCUUGAUUUGUUUAUAGUUCAUCACGAAGCUCUAGCAGCUUAGUGGCAAUGACUUUGGAGAACCAUCACUAUCUCAUCUGGAAGAUUAACUCCCACUUGAUUCAAGCGAUUGUUGUACUCAGACAAUCUGAGAACAUGCUCAAUGAUUUGAGCUUUUCCCCUUAACUUUGUAGGCAAAGAAUCUUGUCGGAGGUCUUAUACCUCACAACAAGGGCACGAGCAUGAAAUCUCAAUUUCAUCUCUUUGAACAUCUCUUAUGUUCUGCGACAUUUUCAAAACGUCUUCGGCGCAUUUGCUUCUAAGCCAUUAAGUAUUGUGCACUAAACUAUAAUGUAGUCAUCAAAGACGUGUAUGUCAGAUGUUCACAACAUCCACAGACGACGCCCGAGGUGCAGCAAACCGAGUGGUGCAUUAAGGACAUAAGCCUUCUGCGUAGCAAUGAGGACAAUCCUCAGUUUUACAGACUCAGUUCGCAAAGUUGCUACAAUCAACUUUCAACUAAAUUUUCUCUAGGAACAUAUAAAAACAGUAGAGCUAUAGCGCAAGCUACAUCGUAAUUUGCAAAGACCAUUAGACUAUGUUCAUGAUAAUUAGUUCAAUUAAUGAUAUUACUUAAGAACUCUCACUCAAAAAGUACAUCUCUCUAGUCAUUUGAGUGGUACAUGAUCCAAAUCCACUAUCUCAAGUCCGAUCAUCACGUGAGUCGAGAAUAGUUUGAGUGGUAAGCAUCUCUAUGCUAAUCAUAUCAACUAUAUGAUUCAUGCUCAACCUUUCGAUCUCUUGUGUUCCGAGGCCAUGUCUGCACAUGCUAGGCUCGUCAAGUUUAACCCGAGUGUUCCGCGUGUGCAACUAUUUUGCACCCGUUGUAUGUGAACGGUGAGUCUAUCACACCCGAUCAUCACGUGGUGUCUCGAAACGAUGAACUGUAGCAACAGUGCAUAGUCGGGGAGAACACAAUUUCGUCUUGAAAUUUUAGUGAGAGAUCACCUCAUAAUGCUACCGUCGUUCUAAGCAAAAUAAGGUGCAUAAAAGGAUUAACAUCACAUGCAAUUCAUAAGUGACAUGAUAUGGCCAUCAUCAUGUGCUUCUUGAUCUCCAUCACCAAAGCACCGGCAUGAUCUUCUUGUCACCGGCGCCACACCAUGAUCUCCAUCAUCAUGAUCUCCAUCAACGUGUCGCCAUAGGGGUUUUCAUGCUACUUAUGCUAUUACUACUAAAGCUACUUCCUAGCAAUAUAGUAAACACAUCUUCAAACACAAACGUUAGUUUAAAGACAACCCUAUGGCUCCUGCCGGUUGCCGUACCAUCGACGUGCAAGUCGAUAUUAACUAUUACAACAUGAUCAUCUCAUACAUCCAAUAUAUCACAUCACGUCGUUGGCCAUAUCACAUCACAAGCAUACCCUGCAAAAACAAGUUAGACGUCCUCUAAUUGUUGUUGCAUGUUUUACGUGGUUGCCAUGGGUAUCUAGUAGGAUCGCAUCUUACUUAUGAAAACACCACAACGGAGAUGUAUGAAUUGCUAUUUAACCUCUCUCCAAGGACCUCCUCGGUCAAAUCCGAUUCAACUAAAGUUGGAGAAACCGACACUCGCCAGUCAUCUUUGAGCAACGGGGUUGCUCGUAGCCAUGAAACCAGUCUCUCGUAAGCGUACGAGUAAUGUCGGUCCGAGCCGUUUCGAUCCAACAAUACCGCGGAACGAAGAAAAGACUAAGGAGGGCAGCAAAUUGCACAUCACCGCCCACAAAAACUUUUGUGUUCUACUGGAGAUAACAUCUACGCAUGAACCUAGCUCAUGAUGCCACUGAUGGGGAACGUCGCAUUGGAAACAAAAAAUUUCCUACGCGCACGAAGACCUAUCAUGGUGAUGUCCAUCUACGAGAGGAGAUUUGGAUCUACGUACCCUUGUAGAUCGCACAACAGGAAGCGUUAAGAAACGCGGUUGAUGUAGUGGAACGUCCUCACGUCCCUCGAUCCGCCCCGCGAACCAUCCCACGAACCGUCCCGCGAUCCGUCCCACGAUCCGCUCCGAUCUAGUGCCGAACGGACGGCACCUCCGCGUUCAGCACACGUACAGCUCGAUGAUGAUCUCCACCUUCUUGAUCCAGCAAGAGGGGGCGGAGAGGUAGAAGAGUUCUCCGGCAGCGUGACGACGCUCCAGUGGUGGUGAAGGAUCUACUCCUGCAGGGCUCCGCCCGUGCUCCGCAGAAACACGAUCUAGAGGAAAAACUGCGUGGUAUAGGGUCGAGCAGCACGUGGCAAAGUUGUCUCUCAAAAACCCUCAAUACCUCUAGUAUAUAUAGGAGGGAGGGAGGGGAGGAGGAAGCCUCAAACCCUCAAGGUUUGGCCGAAAUUGGAGGUGGAGGAGUCUUACUCCAAUCCUACUUGGAGUAGGAUUCCACCUUCCCACUUGGAAACUCUUUCCACCUUGUGUUUUCUCCUUCUCAAACCUUAUGGGCCUUAGUGGAAACUUAUUCUAGCCCACUAGGGGCUGGUUUAUCUCUUCCCAUAGCCCAUGAGACCACUUGGGGCGUUACACUCCUCCCGAUGGUCCCCGGCACCCCUCCCGGCACUCCCGGUACACUACCGAUGAGCCCAAAACUUUUCCGGUGACCAAAACAGGACUUCCUAUAUAUCAAUCUUUACCUCCGGACCAUUCCGGAGCUCCCCGUGACGUCCUGAAUAUCAUCUGGGAAUCCGAACUACUUUCGGUUACCAACACCUAUAACUCAACUAUACCAAAACGUCACCGAACCUUAAGUGUGCAGACCCUGCGGGUUCGAGAACUAUGUAGACAUGACCCGAGACACUCCUCGGUCAAUAUCCAAUAGCGGGACCUGGAUGCCCAUAUUGGAUCCUACAUAUUCUCUGAAGAUCUUAUCGGUUGAACCUCAGUGUCAAGGAUUCAUAUAAUCCCGUAUGUCAUUCCCUUUGUCCUUCAGUAUGUUACUUGCCCGAGAUUUGAUCGUCUGUAUCCGCAUACCUAUUUCAAUCUCGUUACCGGCAAGUCUCUUUACUCGUUCCGUAAUACAAGAUCCCGUGACUUACACUUAGUCACAUUGCUUGCAAGGCUUGUGUGUGAUGUUGUAUUACCGAGUGGGCCCCGAGAUACCUCUCCGUCACACGGAGUGACAAAUCCCAGUCUUGAUCCAUACUAACUCAACGGACACAUUUGGAGAUACCUGUAGAGUACCUUUAUAGUCACCCAGUUACGUUGUGACGUUUGAUGCACACAAGGUAUUCCUCCGGUGUCAGUGAGUUACAUGAUCACAUGGUCAUAGGAAUGAAUAUAUGACACACAGAAAAAAAUAUCAACAAAAUGACACGAUCACAUGCUACAUUUAUAGUUUGGGUCUUGUCCAUCACAUGAUUCUCCUAAUGAUGUGAUCCCGUUAUCAAGUGACAACACUUUCCUAUGGCCAGGAAACCUUGAUCAUCUUUGACCAGCAAACUAGUCAACUAGAGGCUCACUAGGGACAAUGUGUUGUCUAUGUAUCCAGACAUGUAUUUGAGUUUCCAAUCAAUACAAUUCUAGCAUGGAUAUUAAACGAUUAAUAUGAACAAGGAAAUAUAAUAAUAACUAAUUCAUUAUUGCCUCUAGGGCAUAGUUCCAACACAAACUUCACAUCUACCAUCUCUUCAACUUUUUGAGUGAAGUUGUUGUAGACAUGGUAAGCGUGAGAGUUUGAUUCGUAACCAAGAAGGAAACCUUCAUAAGAUUUAGGUGCAAAUUUAGAACGAUGAUGCUUAUCAAGAAUAUAGCACUUAGAGCCGAAUACCCGAAAGUAUCCAACUUGGGGUUUGUUACCAGUGAGUAGCUCGUAUGCCAUUUUACCGAGAAGCUUGUGCAGGUAGAGUCGGUUUAUGGAAUGGCAAGCUGUUUCCACUGCUUCUACCCAAAAGUGACUUGGAGUCUUGUAUUCGUCAAACAUUGUUCUCGCCAUCUCUAUGAGCGUCCGGUUCUUCCUCUCAACAACUCCAUUUUGUUGAGGUGUGUACGUCACCAAUAACUCAUGUAAGAUAACUUCUUCAUCAAAAGAAGUAUCCACAUUAGUGUUCUUGAACUCCGUUUCGUUGUCGCUCCGAACCUUCUUGAUCUUCACUUCAAACUGGUUUUAAGAUUUCCGAGCAAAGUUCUUGAAGAUCAUUUGUACCCGCGACUUAUCAUUGAGAAAGAACACCAACGUAAAUCUGGAAAAAUCAUCAACAAUGACUAGACCAUAAGAAUUUCCACCAAGACUCUUUUAAGCAUUGGGACCAAAGAGAUCCAUGUGAAGCAACUCGAGGGGUCUUCUUGUGGUCAUGAUGUUCUUCACGGGAUGACUUCCACCAACUUGCUUUCCUGCUUGACAAGCACUACAAAGUCUAUCUUUCUCAAAGAUAACAUCUUUAACGCCAAGAAUAUGAUCACCUUUGAUAAGUUUGUCAAGAUCACGCAUACCAACAUGUCCAAGCCUUCUAUGCCUUAACCAACCUUUAGAAUAUUUUGCGAUAAGGCAUGUACGGGGUUUGGAUAUCUUAGAGAAAUCACCAAUGUAUAGAUCACCUCUACGGAAACCAGUAAAGACGAUGCUAUGAUUGUCGCUAUGAAACACUCGAUAUUCAAUUUUUGUAAAUAGAACAUCGAAACCAAAGUUUGCUAGUCUAGAUACGGAAAGAAGAUUGUAGCCAAGGGAUUCAACAAGCAUGACAUUCUGAAUGGAACUGUCAUGAGAUACGACCACCUUACCAAGACCAAGUACCUUACCUUUGGACUUGUCUCCAAAAGUCACAUACUUCCGAGGUCCACGAUUUGGUGUAAUCUCAUGGAACAUAUCUUUAUCUCCGGUCAUGUGAUCGGUGCAUCCACUAUCGAGAACCCGCUCCUUUCCACUGGCCAUGUAGUCUUUAAGGUUAGCCAUAAGACUAAGGUUCCUCAUGGUCUUCUCAUAUCCGAUGUCAAGUGCUUCAUCUUCAUUGUAGUUGCCAUGCUCCACAUUGUCAUCAUCGGAUGAAGUUCCCUCAUCAUAAGAAAUAAGAAUUUCGUCAGAAAUUUGACUAUGACAAUGUUCAUGUUUAUGCAUUCGAAUGGCUUCAACAAUGAUAUUGUUAAUAGUAUUGACAUCUCCUUUAGCACGCAUGAGGUCACGAAGCUCAAAUAGGCAUUUAUCGAAGUUAGGAUCGGUUGGCUUCAUUUUGUGAAAAGCAAUGCAUUUGUGGAAUAUGAUAUCAAGAUUUUUCAAGGAAUAAUCUCGAUAUCUUUUCUCUAAGUCUUCCCACAAGGUAAGAGCACACUCAAAGUUUUGCAACUGAUUAAGCAGAUUUCUUGGUAAACCUCUAAUGAUAAGAUUGAUAGUGUUAAGGUUACCAAGCAUAUUAACUUCAUCAUCAUGAGAAGGAUGUAUGGGAUCAAUGAGAGGCGUAUAGGGUAUUCAACAUACUUGCGCAAAUGGAAUUCAUCAAAUAUAACAAGCAUUUCAUCUUUCCAUUGUCUANNNNNNNNNNNNNNNNNNNNNNNNNNNNNNNNNNNNNNNNNNNNNNNNNNNNNNNNNNNNNNNNNNNNNNNNNNNNNNNNNNNNNNNNNNNNNNNNNNNNNNNNNNNNNNNNNNNNNNNNNNNNNNNNNNNNNNNNNNNNNNNNNNNNNNNNNNNNNNNNNNNNNNNNNNNNNNNNNNNNNNNNNNNNNNNNNNNNNNNNNNNNNNNNNNNNNNNNNNNNNNNNNNNNNNNNNNNNNNNNNNNNNNNNNNNNNNNNNNNNNNNNNNNNNNNNNNNNNNNNNNNNNNNNNNNNNNNNNNNNNNNNNNNNNNNUCAUCUUUCCAUUGUCUAAAGUACUCCCCAUCAAGAAUAGGCACUCUACAACAAAAGAUCUGGGAACUAGUCACAUUCGUCUUCCUCCAAUGGCGGUUAAACCAAGGUUUUGGAGACCUUGCUCUGAUACCAAUUGAGGGAUCGAUAGAAGAUGUGUCUAGAGGGGGGGGGGGGGAAUAAACUACUUGUCAAGAUAAAAAAUUCUAGCCCNNNNNNNNNNNNNNNNNNNNNNNNNNNNNNNNNNNNNNNNNNNNNNNNNNNNNNNNNNNNNNNNNNNNNNNNNNNNNNNNNNNNNNNNNNNNNNNNNNNNNNNNNNNNNNNNNNNNNNNNNNNNNNNNNNNNNNNNNNNNNNNNNNNNNNNNNNNNNNNNNNNNNNNNNNNNNNNNNNNNNNNNNNNNNNNNNNNNNNNNNNNNNNNNNNNNNNNNNNNNNNNNNNNNNNNNNNNNNNNNNNNNNNNNNNNNNNNNNNNNNNNNNNNNNNNNNNNNNNNNNNNNNNNNNNNNNNNNNNNNNNNNNGAAUUUGGUAUUCGUUCGAUAAUUUGAUAUGUUGUAUGUUGUUUUUCCUCUAGUGGUGUUAUGUGAACGUCGACUACAUAACACUUCACCAUUAUUUGGGCCUAGAGGAAGACACUGGGAAGUAGUAAGUAGAUGAUGGGUUGCUAGAGUGACAGGAGCUUAAACCCUAGUUUAUGUGUUGCUUCGUAAGGGGCUGAUUUGGAUCCACUAGUUUAAUGUUAUGGUUAGACUUUGUCUUAAUUCUUCUUUCGUAGUUGCGGAUGCUUGUGAGAGGGGUUAAUCAUAAGUGGGAUGCUUGUCCAAGUAAGGGCAGUACCCAAGCGUUGGUCCACCCACAUAUCAAACUACCAAAGUAACGAACGCGAAUCAUAUGAACGUGAUGAAACUAGCAUGACAGAAAUUCCCGUGUGUCCUCGGGAGCGUUUUUCCUCCUAUAAGACUUUGUCUAGGUUUGUCCCUUGCUACAAAAGGGAUUGGGCCAUUUUGCUGCACCGUUGCUAAUUUUGUUACUUGUUGCUUGCUACGAAUCAUCUCACCACACAAUCACUUGUUACCGACAAUUUCAGUGCCUGCAGAUUGUACCUUGCUGAAAACCACUUGUCAGAUUCUUCUACUCCUCGUUGGGUUCGACAAUCUUACUUAUCGAAAGGACUACGAUUGGUCCCCAAUACUUGUGGGUCAUGAAGACUCUUUUCUGGCGCCGUUGCCAGGGAGUGAAGCGCCUUUGGUAAGUCGAACUUGGUAAGGAAACAUUCAUAUAGUGUGCUGAAAUUUGUUGUCAGUUGUCAUUAUGGAUACUAAUCCUUUGAGGGGCUUGUUCGGGGUAUCUUCUCCUUGAACGGAAGCACAAAUAGUUUCUCCUCAACCUGCUGCACAUACUGAAAAUAUUUGCUUUGAAUUUCCUUCGGUAUGCUUGAGAAACUACUGGCUAAUCCUUUUACAGGAGAUGGAACAUCACAUCCAGACUUCCAUCUAAUCUAUGUAGAUGAAGUUUGUGGUUUAUUUAAGCUUGCAGGUUUGCCCGAGGAUGGGGUCAAUAAGAAGGUCUUUCCUUUAUCUUUGAAGGAUAAGGCAUUGACAUGGUAUAGGCUAUGUGAUGAUACUGGAUCAUGGAACUACAAUCGGUUGAAAUUGGAAUUUCAUCAAAAGUUUUAUCCUAUGCAUUUAGUACAUCGUGAUCGGAAUUAUAUUUACAAUUUUUGGCCUUGUGAUAGAGAAAGCUUGGGGGAGGCUUAAAUCAAUGCUAUAUUCAUGCCCCAAUCAUGAGCUCUCGAGAGAAAUUAUCAUUCAGAACUUCUAUGCUCGGCUUUCUCAUGAUGAUCGCACCAUGCUUGACACUUCUUGUACCGGUUCUUUUAUGAAGAGAGAUAUUGAAUUCAAAUGGAAUUUAUUGGAGAGAAUUAAACGCAACUAUGAAGAUUGGGAGCUUGAAGAAGGUAAGGAGUCAGGUAUGAAUUUCACGUUUGAUUGCGUUAAAUCCUUUGUUGAGACAAAUACUUUUUGUGACUUUAGCGCUAAGUAUGGACUUGACUCUAAGAUAGUAGCUUCAUUGUGUGAAUCCUUUGCUGCUCAUAUUGAUCUCCCCAAAGAGAAGUUCUUUAAAUAUCAUCCUCCUUUAGAAGUCAAUGUAGUUAAACCCACUCCAGUUGAACAGAAAGUCAUUGCCUAUAAAGAUCCUGUUGUUCCCAGUGCUUACAUUGAGAAACCACCUUUCCCUGUUAGGAUAAAGGAUCAUUCUAAAGCUUCAACUGUGAUACGUAGAGGCUAUAUUAGAACACCUACACCCCCUAAGCAAAUUAGAGUUGAACCUAGCAUUGCUAUUAUCAAAGAUCUUCUGUCCGAUGAUGUUGAGGGACAUAAUAUUCACUUCUGUGAAGAUGCUGCUAGAAUUGCUAAACCUCACGCUAGAGACAAACAUAGGCCUGUUGUUGGCAUGCCUGUGGUUUCUGUUAAGAUAGGAGAUCAUUGUUACCAUGGUUUAUGUGACGUGGGUGCUAGUGUUAGUGCAAUACCUCAAUCUUUAUACAAUGAAAUCAAAGACGAGAUUGCACCUGUUGAGAUAGAGCCUAUUGAUGUCACUAUUCAGCUUGCCCAUAGAGAUACUAUCUGCCCUGUUGGAAUUGUUAGGGAUGUUGAAGUCUUGUGUGGUAAAACAAAGUAUCCUGCUGAUUUCCUCGUUCUUGCUACUGCACAAGAUAGCUUUUGUCCCAUCAUAUUUGGUAGAUCCUUCCUCAAUACCGUCAAUGCUCAUAUUGAUUGUGAGAAGCAAACUGUCACUGUUGGCUUUGAAGGUGUGUCACACGAGUUCAUUUUCUCUAAGUUUGGUAGACAACCUCAUGAAAAGGAGUUGCCUAGUAAGGAUGAAACUAUUUCCUUAGCUUCUAUUGCCGUGCCUCCUACUGAUCCCUUAGAGCAAUACUUGCUUGAGCAUGAAAAUGAUAUGAAUAUGGAUGAAAGGGAUGAAAUAGAUAGAGUUGUCUUAGAACAAUAUCCUAUCCUUAUGAAUAACUUGCCUGUUGAACUGCUUGGGGAUCCACCCCCACCAAAGGGUGAUCCUGUGUUCGAGCUCAAACAAUUGCCUGAUACGCUUAAGUAUGCCUAUCUUGAUGAGAAGGAGAUAUAUCCUGUCAUUAUUAGUGCUAGCCUCUCAGAGCAUGAAGAAAAGAAGUUGCUAAAAACUCUGAGGAAGCACCGUGCUGCUAUUGGAUAUACUCUUGAUGAUCUUAAGGGCAUUAGUCCCACUCUAUGCCAACACAAGAUUAAAACUGAUCCUGAUUUCAAACCAGUUGCUGAUCAUCAAAGGAGAUUGAAACCUAAGAUGAAAGAAGUAGUAAGAAAAGAAAUACUAAAGCUCCUGGAAGCGGGUAUUAUCUAUCCUGUUGCUCAUUGCGAUUGGGUGAGUCCGAUGCAUUGCAUCCCUAAGAAGGGAGGCAUUACCGUUGUCGCUAAUGAUAAGGAUGAAUUGACCCCACAGAGGAUUAUUACUGGCUAUAGGAUGGUGAUCGAUUUUAGGAAAUUGAAUAAAGCCACUAGGAAAGAUCAUUACCCUUUGCCUUUUAUCGACCAAAUGCUAGAAAGACUGUCUAAACACACACAUUUCUGCUUUCUAUACGGUUAUUCUGGUUUCUCCCAAAUACCAGUUGCACAAUCUAAUCAGGAGAAAACCACUUUCACCUGCCCUUUCGGUACCUUUGCUUAUAGACGUAUGACUUUGGGCUUAUAUAAUGCACCUGUCACCUUUCAAAGAUGUAUGAUGGCUAUAUUCUCUGACUUUUGUGAAAAGAUUGUUGAGGUUUUCAUGGAUGACUUCUCCGUUUAUGGGUCUUCCUUUGAUGAUUGCCUUAGCAACCUUGAUCGAGUCUUGCAGAGAUGUGAAGAUACCAAUAUUGUCUUGAAUUGGGAGAAGUGCCACUUUAUGGUUAAUGAAGGCAUCGUCUUAGGACAUAAAAUUUCUUAAAGAGGUAUUGAAGUUGAUAAGGCUAAGGUUGAUGCAAUCGAGAAAAGGCCAUACCCCACAGAUAUCAAAGGUAUAAGAAGUUUCCUCGGUCACGCUAGUUUCUAUAGAAGGUUCAUCAAAGACUUAUCUAAGAUUUCUAGGCGUCUUACCAAUCUCUUACAAAAGGACAUUCCUUUUGUUUUUGACGAUGAUUGUGAGGAAGCCUUCGAAAUACUUAAGAGGGCUUUGAUAACUGCACCUAUUGUUCAACCACCUGAUUGGAACCUACCUUUUGAGAUCAUGUGUGAUGCUAGCGAUUAUGCUGUUGGUGCUAUUCUAGGGCAAAGAUUCGAUAAGAAGUUGAAUGUUAUUCAAUACGCUAGUAAAACUCUAGACAGUGCCCAGAGAAACUAUGCUACUACGGAGAAGGAAUUUUUAGCAGUCGUGUUUGCUUGUGAAAAGUUCAGGUCUUACAUAGUUGAUUCCAAAGUCACUAUUCACACUGAUCAUGCUGCUAUUAAGUACCUCAUGGAGAAGAAGGACGCUAAACGUAGACUUAUCAGAUGGGUUCUCUUGCUACUAGAAUUUGAUUUGCACGUUGUUGACAGGAAGGGUGCUGAUAACCCAGUAGCAGAUAACUUGUCUAGGUUGGAGAACGUUCUUGAUGACCCACAACCUAUUGAUGAUAGCUUUCCUGAUGAGCAAUUGAAUAUCAUCAAUGCUUCACGUAGUGCAUCGUGGUAUGCUGAUUAUGCAAACUAUAUCGUUGCCAAAUACAUACCACCUAGUUUCACGUGCCAGCAAAAGAAGAAAUUCUUCUUUGACUUGAGACAUUACUUUUGGGAUGAUCCUCACCUUUAUAGGAAGGAGUAGAUGGUGUUAUUAGAAGUUGUGUACCUGAACAUGAACAGGGACAGAUCCUACAGAAGUGUCACUCCGAGGCCUACGGAGGACACCAUGCAGGAUAUAGAACUGCACACAAGGUAUUGCAAUCAGGUUUCUAUUGGCCCACUCUCUUCAAGGAUGCCCGUAAGUUUGUCUUGUCUUGUGACGAAUGUCAAAGAAAAGGUAAUAUUAGCAAACGUCAGGAAAUGCCUAUGAACUAUUCACUUGUCAUUGAACCAUUUGAUGUCUGGGGUUUUGAUUUUAUGGGACCUUUUCCAAAAUCCAACGGGUAUACUCAUAUCCUAGUUGUUGUUGAUUACAUCACUAAGUGGGUAGAAGCUAUCCCCACUAGUAGUGCUGAUCACAACACCUCUAUCAGGAUGCUGAAAGAAGUUAUCUUCCCUAGAUUUGGAGUCCCUAGAUAUCUAAUGACCGACGGUGGUUCACACUUCAUUCAUGGUGCUUUUUGUAAAACGCUUUCUAAGUAUGAUGUCAACCAUAGAAUUGCGUCUCCCUAUCACCCUUAGUCCAGUGGUCAAGUAGAGCUAAGUAAUAGAGAGAUUAAACUGAUUCUGCAAAAGACUAUCAACAGGUCUAGAAAUAAUUGGUCUAAGAAGCUCGAUGAUGCACUGUGGGCUUAUAGAACUGCCUAUAAGAAUCCCAUGGGCAUGUCUCCGUACAAAAUGGUGUACGAUAAAGCAUGUCAUCUACCUCUUGAGCUAGAGCAUAAAGCUUAUUGGCCAAUCAAAAAGCUCAACUUUGAUUUCAAACUUGCCGGUGAGAAGAGGUUAUUUGAUAUUAGCUCGCUUGAUGAAUGGAGAACUCAGGCAUAUGAGAAUGCCAAGUUGUUCAAAGAGAAGGUUAAGAGGUGGCGUGAUAAGAGGAUACAAAAGUGUGAGUUCAAUGUAGGUGAUUAUGUCUUGCUAUAUAACUCUAGUUUAAGAUUCUUUGCAGGCAAGCUUCUCUCUAAAUGGGAAGGCCCCUAUGUUGUUGAGGAAGUAUAUCGUUCCGGUGCUAUCAAGAUCAACAACACGGAAGGUAAUUGUCCGAGAGUGGUAAAUGGGCAGAGAAUCAAGCAUUAUAUCUUAGGUACUCCGAUAAAUGUUGAAAGCAAUAUUAUCAAUACCAUAACUCCGGAAGAAUACCUAAGGGAUAUUUAUCAGCCUAUUUCAGACUCCGAAAACGAAGAGGUAUGUGAUUCGGUAAGAAAACACAGUCCAAAACUUUUCCAGUAGGAAUUUUUUUCUGUUUUGGAAUAUUUGAAAAAAAUACAAAAAAUGGAAGUAGUCUCAAAAGGGCGCGAGGAGGCGACAAUCCUGCACGGCGCGGGCCCACCCCCGGCCGCGCCGUGAGGGCUUGUGGCCACCUCGUGCGCCUCCCGGACUCCGUUUUCAUGAGGGGUACUCCUUCUGGUCUCGAGAAAAUCAUUAUAUAUACUCCCGUUUGGUCUGACCCAUGCAUCACAUAGAUUUCCUCUGUUUUUCGUUUCGAGCGUGUUUCUGUUUUAGAUCUAGAUCGCUAUGACUUCCCCAAAAGCUCCGAAGGACAAGAUCUUCGAGAAGGUUACCAAUCCCUACCUCACGGGAGUGCUGCAACACCGUCAAUCUAUCGAGAUGCUUGAGGGGAUGUUGCACAUCUGUUAUGUUGAGGGGCCUAAGAAGACCGGAAGCAUGGAGACGAGGCUCGAAGCAAUGGAGCAACAAGUCUUCAAGUGCCAAGGGAUGGUGGAGCGUGGACUCAACGCCAACCACAUGAUGACCACAGAGUUCACCAGCAAGCACGGGAUUGAUGCCAAUGACAUUGGGAAGCAUCUCUCCAGGCUCUAUGACAGGAUUGAUCAACUCCAGGCCCAGAUCUAUGACCUGCAGAACCAAAACUGUGAGUAUGAGUAUAGAUUUAAAUCAAUACGGUUGGGUGCAGAUUUGAGGAUUCCGGAGACUCGUUCAUCUUUCCAUGAUGGAGCACCUAUGCCUUGGAAGACGAAGGAUCAAGCCCAUGUUGCAACAACACCACCAUCACCACCAAAGGAAGACAACUGAGCAUUGGUAUGGGCAAUCCCCUUGGCUUGUGCCAAGCUUGGGAGAGUUGCCCCGGUAUCGUAUCACCAUCACAUCUUUUGCCUUUACCUUUGUUUUAGUUUUCCUUUUCAGUUUUCUCUUUCUCUAGUAGAUUAAAAGUCUUAGUGUUUUAGUCUUGAGUUUAUCUUUGUGUGACCCCCGAUGUAUUCGAGCUCGUGAGCCAUAUAAUAAAGAGUGUCUUAGUUGAAGGGCUUUGCCUCUUGCCAUGAUCAAAAGAGUGAGAAUAGAACAAAAGCAUGAAAGAUCAUGUAAUGAUCUUAUGGGAAGUGAUGGCUUCACACAUAAAAAGAAUGUGGAUUGAAACUUGUUGAGGGUACGCAAACGUAGACCUUGGUCAUUGUUGCAAUUAAUAGGAAGUGAUAAAGAAGGAGAGGUUCACAUACAAAUAUAUCAUCUCUGACACCAUCUAUGAUUGUGAACACUCACUAAAGUAUUGCAUGCCUAGAAGUUGAUGUUGGACAAGGAAGACAACAUAAUGAAUUGUGUUUGCUUGGCUCUGAACAAUGUUAUAUGAUGAGAGAUCCCUUAGCAUGUGACGAUUGCUUCCACCUCACAUUAGCCAAACCUCCCGCACCAAGUAGAGAUACUACUUGUGCAUCCAUAAACCUUCAACCCAGUUUUGCCAUGAGUGUCCACCAUACCUACCUAUGGAUUUAAUAAGAUCCCUCAAGUAAGUUGUCAUCGGUACAAGCAAGAAAAAUUACUCUUUAAUAUGUAUGAUCUAUUAGUGUGUGGCAAAUAAGCUUUAUACGAACCUGUGAUGGGGAAGACAUAAAAGCGACAGACUGCAUAAUAAAGUUCUUUAUCACUUGAGGCAAUAUAUAGUGACGUUCCUCCGCACUAAGAGGACACACAUCCAAACCUCAAAAGCGCAUGACAACCUCUGCUUCCCUCUGCGAAGGGCCUAUCUUGUACCUUUACUUUUUGUCCUUGAAAGAGUCAUGGUGAUCUUCACCAAUUCCUUAUUUCGCCUUUGUCUUGGCUAACACCAUAUGCUUGGGAAAGAUCUAUAUUCAUAUGUCAACUUGUAGGUAAUUAUUCUUGAAUUAUUAUUAUUGACAUUACCCUUGAGGUAAGCAGUUGGGAGGCAAAACUGUAAGCCCUUAUCUUUCUCUGUGUCCAGCUGAAACUUUGAUCUCAUGAGUACCAUGUGAGUUGUAGCAAUUGUAGAGAACGAAAGAAUGAUUGAGUAUGUGGAUUUGCUUUACAAGCUCUUAUUUGACUCUUUCUGAUGUUGUGAUAAAUUGCAAUGGCUUCAAUGACUAAAGGCUAUCGGUUGUUACUUCUCGGUAAGGUUCUUGAUCCAUGCUUUACUUUGUGAAGGAAUUAUCACUUUAGCAUGAGAGAUUAUAUGUUAGUAUUGCUGUUCUGAUCAUGAUCAUGAUGCAUGCAUGUUCGUAUCUUGUUUUGUCGACACCUCUCUCCCUACACAUGUGGACAUAUUUAUUGAGCUAGGCUUUCGAUUGAGGACGAGCGAGGUCUAAGCUUGGGGGAGUUGAUACGUCCAUUUUGCAUCAUGUUUUCAUGUUAAUAUUUAUCGCUUCUUGGGCUGUUAUUUCACUUCACGGUACAAUUCUUAUGCCUUUUCUCUCUUAUUUUGCAAGGUUUACAUGAAGAGGGAGAAAGCCGACAGCUGGAAUUCUGGCCUGAAAGUGGAGCAAAGUUGAGAUACCUAUUCUGCGCAACUCCAAACGCCGUAAAAAUCAACAAGGAUUUUUUCCUGAUUUAUAAAAAAUACUGGGCCGAAGAAGCGCCAGAGGGGCACCAAGGGUUGGCCACAAGCCUGCACGGCGCGGCCACCCCCAGGCCGCGUCAUGAGGGCUUGUGGGCAACCUGCUGGCCCACUGCCCCCCCUCUUCUUCUAUAUGAAGGGCUUCGCCUGGAAAAAAAUCAGGGAGGAGCUUUAUCGUGGAUUCGCCGCCACCACGAGGCGGAACUUGAGCAGAACCAAUCUAGAGCUCUGGCAGAACGAUCUUGCCGGGGAAACUUCCCUCCCGGAGGGGGAAAUCGUCACCAUCGUCAUCACCAACACUCCUCUCAUCGGAGGGGACUCUUCACCAUCAACAUCUUCAUGAACACCAUCUCAUCUCCAAACCCUAGUUCAUCACUUGUAACCAAUCUCCGUCUCGCGACUCCGAUUGGAACUUGUAAGGUUGCUAGUAGUGUUNGAAUUUGGUAUUCGUUCGGUAAUUUUAUAUGUUGUAUGUUGUUUUUCCUCUAGUGGUUUUAUGUGAACGUCGACUACAUAACAUUUCACCAUUAUUUGGGCCUAGAGGAAGGCAUUGGGAAGUAGUAAGUAGAUGAUGGGUUGCUAGUGACAUAAGCUUAAACCCUAGUUUAUGCGUUGCUUCGUAAGGGGCUGAUUUGGAUCCACUAAUUUAAUGCUAUGGUUAGACUUUGUCUCAAUUCUUCUUUCGUAGUUGCGGAUGCUUGCAAGAGGGGUUAAUCAUAAGUGGGAUGCUUGUCCAAGUAAGGGCAGUACCCAAGCGCUGGUCCACCCACAUAUCAAACUAUAAAAGUAACGAACGCGAAUCAUAUGAACAUGAUGAAACUAGCAUGAUUGAAAUUCCCGCGUGUUCUCGGGAGUGUUUUUCCUCCUAUAAUACUUUGUCCAGGCUUGUCCCUUGCUACAAAAGGGAUUGGGCCACUUUGCUACACCUUUGCUACUUUUGUUCCUUGUUGCUUGCUACGAAUCAUCUCACCACACAAUCAUUUGUUACUGACAAUUUCAGUGCGUGCAGAUUUUACCUUGUUGGAAACCACUUGUCAAAUCCUUCUGCUCCUCGUUGGUUCGACACUCUUACUUAUCAAAAGGACUACAAUUGAUCCCCUAUACUUGUGGGUCAUCAGUCAUGUAGCGGACAUAGCAUUUGUGGCAAAGCCACCGCACAUCCUGGUAUAUUUCCAGAGGCAUUCAUAUAGAGUCAUCUUGUAUAUUUUUUUCAUAUUGAGUUGUAAGUAAAUAAAAGUGUGAUGAUCAUCAUUAUUAGAGCGCUUUCCUAGUAAGGAAAGGAUGAUAGAGACUAUGAUUCCCCCACAAGUCGAUAUGAGACCCGAGACAAAAAAAAAUAAAAAAUGGGAGAAAAAAAAGGGAAACAAAAUAAAAAGAAAAAGAAAUAAAAAUGGGAGAAAAGAUAGAAGGGGCAGUGCUACUAUCUUUUUCCACACUUGUUCUUAGAGGGAGCACCAUGUUCUUCAUAUAGGGAGUCUCUUGAGUUGUUAUUUUCAUAUGCUAGUGGGAAUUUUUCUUUAUAGAACUUGGAUGAAAAUGGCCGAGGUCUUCAUGAGCAAGCAAGUUGGAUGCACACCCACUUAGCUUCUGUUGAGAUUUCAUACACUUAUAGCUCUAGUGCAUCCUUGCAUGGAAAGCCCUACUCCUCACGUCGACAUUGAUUGAUGGGCAUCUUCAUAGCCCAUUGGUCCGUCUAGUUGAUGUGAGACUUUCUUUCCACUUUGACUCCUUUUGAUCUCUACCACCAUAUUAUGUUCCACCCAUAUGCCAUAUCCAUGAUUCACGCUCAUGUAUUGAGCGAGGUUGAAAAUGUUGAAGCGUGUUAGAAGUACGAUCUAAUUGCCUGACUUGACACCGAGGUGCUCAUGUUUUAUACUAAUGUGGUGAGGGCGGGGUCAUGCCAUGCUAAUAUGAUAAAAUGAGUAGCGAAUAACUUUCUUGAAGGAUCGUAUAUUUUGAAUAUGAAUGAUUAUGAUUAUUAUAUUUAUGGAUAUCAUUAUUUUGAUAUCAAUUAGUUCAUCGUUUCUUAAGAUCAUACCUAAAGGAUAUUACAUGUUGGGUAGCAUGUCACAUCAAAAAUUGUGUUUUUAUCAUUUACCUACUCGAGGACGAACUGGAGUUAAGCUUGGGGAUGCUGAUACGUCGCCAACGUAUCAAUAAUUUUUUAUUGUUCUAUGCUAUUAUAUUAUAAAUCUUUGAUGCUUUAUAUCCAAUUAUAUGCUAUUUUAUAUUUUUUGGAACUAACCUAUUAACUCAGUGCCAAGUUCUAGUUGGUGUUUUCUAGUUGUUUUUUGGAACUAACCUAUUACAGCAAAUCAGUACCAAUCGAUGUAACACCCUCUCGUUAGCUUUCCCGACUAAAUAACUUAUUUCAAAAAUUAGGACCAAUUAAUUUUUUUUGUGAAUGAUUGUGAUGCUUGUGGUGACUAUUGUUUGCUUGCUUGCUCGUAUGGUUCUGUUGAAUUUUCCAUAAUUCCUGUUACUCUCUAGACUCAGUUCUUUAACUCAAAACUCAUGCCUAAUGACCAUGCCACAUGUUUAGGACCAAAAACUAUUUCUACCAAAUAUUAUUUUCACCAAAAUGCAUUUCUUUGAAUUAAGCCUUCAAAACCCCUCAGAUGAGGUUUGUACUACAAGUCCUCAAAUUAGGGAAUUUAUUCUACACCAAUUAUUUUAUUUGAAACCCAUUAUCAAAAUGACUUCCCAAAACAACCAUAUUAUCAUUUUAAAAGUUAUUUUACUAAUUUAUUUAAAUGCCUUCCUGUGAGGCCAGAAAUGGUCUCUUAUGAAGGAAAGUUAUUUUUAUUGCUUUCAAAAUAUUUAAGAAAAUUUAGGGAAACUCAGUAGACAUAUUAUUUCCAUAUAUAUGAGUUUCAACAUACGGUCAUGUUCAAAAUAUUGGGCCAACCCCUUCAAAACCCUUCCUGCCUAUUUCAAUAUUUUGGAAUAUUUCUAUAAUAAUUAUUCUCAAUAAAUUCCAGUAAAAUUUCAGCAUGUCACCUAUGAUAUUUUUGAUGAUCUUGCCAAGUUUCAUCUCAAUCCAAGUUGAUUUGACUCCCGUAAUUAUUCUAAAACCCUAUCUGUCGAGAUCCAAAUUUGAGCAACUCUACAUUGUCAAUUAUCUCCAAAUGUGCUGAAAUUUGGUAGACAUGUUCUGAUACUCCAAUAAUGCAUCCACACCAAGUGGUUCAUCAAGGAGAAUAGAAUAACUUGUCCCAAGCCCCUCAAAACCCUCUCUGUUGAUUUCUGACUUUGGGAAACUUUACAUUAUAAAGUUUCUCCAAUUGACCCCAAACUUUUUGUGCAUGCCUUAAUGCUCAAAUAAUGCCCCAUUAUUAGAUUUGUGGGAAUAUAUUUGGAUGGAUUUGUAAGCCGAAAGCCAUUUCUGCCAAUUCAUGGGUUUUCCAAGUCUACAUUGGAAACCUUGUCCACAAAAUCGCAAAUUUGGUGUCCAAGCUUAUUCUUAUCUAUUAUUUGAUCCUGUUAAGUUUCAUAUCCAUUGAAGUCCAUCUGGUUCCUGUGCCACUCAUCAAACACCUUGUGUGCAUUCACUUUAUUGACUACUUUGGCCCCUUCCACUUUAACCCUUGAGCUCAACUUUCUACCACAGCUUCAUAUAGUUACAUUUUACCUCGAGUAACAUUUCCAUGGCCACUGGUCAAUUAUUGGAGAGAGGCUCCAUGUAACUAUUCCGCAUUUUUACCCUUGGAAUCACUAUUUUACCCCUCUUUCCCCACUUAUGUUUAAGCCAAAGCCCCCACCUCUUGCCAGAGGGUUCCUAGCAUCCCAGGGCAUUGUUUCAACCCAAGAGAUGGCAUGCUCAUAUGGAGAAAAUGAGCAACACUGAGCGAUCUGUGUUUUCGAUGAGCGUUGAUCUCUGGGAUCACUGAGGACGUUCAUUUGGCGAUCUCGACUCGUAAGUCGGGGUCCCCACAGAGCUGGUAUCAGAGCCAUCCUGACUAUAGGAAGCCUUAUUUAGCACGGACGUUAGUUAGGAUGAAACUGCUUUCCAGACCUUUCAAAAGUACUUGCAAACGUAUAUAUUUUCUCGCCUCUCCUAAAUCUUCAAAGAAAAUGAAGGAUAUACUUUAGCCUUCCACCCUUAUUCUAUGACACUCCUCGCCUACGUUUUCAAAAACAUGCAAAUGGUCGCUAGCACCCUUAUGCCCUCUGACCACGAGAUUAUUAGAAAUCCUCGUGGACAACUUGGAAGAAAGUAACCUUUCAAGACAAUCACCCCUGUGCUGAAGGACAAAGAUGACAACUCUAUGACCAGACGACACCAACAGAAGUACCUCCAUGAGGAACAAGGACAUAGAGGCCCCUAAGAUGGUGACACCCUCAGCACUGUUCCAGUGUGAUGCCACUUUCACCUACGAUAAUUUGGACGUAAUAUAUGCAAGGCCAUGAUGUGCAUCGCUAAUAGAGCGACCUUGUCAAUAAUGAGGAUAGUGUCGACCACCACGGUGGAUGAGAACCUCGCCAUUUGGUCCACAUCACCUUAGUGAGCAGGAAAACGGUUAUCUUCAUCCCCCGCUCUAGGUGUCGAUAUUGCAAUUAGUAUGAUUAACAGAUCAGAACUGUAUCAUGUCUUGCAAAUAUCAACGCAUGAAGAUGUCCACUUGAGUUUCUCGAAGCAUCAGAAGACAAGAAGACGAUGACAGGAUCAUGAAGACAACAGAAGACCCUGUCAAUGACAACAAUGAAGAACUACCUUCCUCAGCAACUCCCCAUACAAAAAGUCAUCAAUGAUACUUUCAACUCAACCAGAGAAGUUCGGUGAGCAACAACAUGAGACGUGGCAACACCCUGAGAAGGUCCAUGAGACUUAGCGGACUCAUCUCCGGAGCAUGAAGCAAGCACGACUGUCAGGUCCGAGAACCCUAGGGUAGGAUGAGUCGUCAAUCCCCUAUGCGAAGUCGAGUCCGUGAAAUGGUUCAGAUGGACUAUGUUGAGUGUUGGUUGUUUUGUUGUUUGUGCUUUGGUAUAAGUCGCACUUUUGCCUAAGCAACAAUCAUGCGGUUAUAUCACGUGUCUUAUUUUGAUGUUCGGAAUGAUUUUUGCACUUGUUUGAGUUGAAUUUCCAAUGCUUGUUUGAUUGCACUAAAACCCUUAGGCACUCCCCUCUAUGCUGCUCUCUCUCUUUCACCCCUCUCGACAACUGAAGACCAGCAGGACAAGAUGCACCAAGGAUCCACUUCGAAGGACGACUAACACUGAAGGCAAUGACUGUACUAUGCUUAACCACACAGAACCCGUAGUAGUUAUGAUUUUCCCUCAAGAUUGGAAAACCACACUAGAGCAGACUAACCUCCACAAGCCUUUCUGGCUCAAAUUUACUGGUCGCGUGUCUAGUACACGGACUCGCCAGAACACCUGUAGAUCCCCGAUAAACCCCGCUUAGCACCGGGUUCUUGAUGGAACUAAUGAUCACAGUGAACGAGUAUUCUUCAUUCUUAAAGCUAGCACCAUAACCCUGAUGCCAUAAGAAAGACGGUUCUCUGAUAUAAGAGUAUUAUACUAAAGAUUGUUGUAAUGAUGAUAUGUGUCUUGAGGAUAUAGCCAGACUAUCUUGGUGUACCGCAAUACCCUUAUAAAGUAGGUGAAUCUGGUGGAACAAGUUCAUAUAGUAUCAUAACCUACCUAUUCCUGGAGUACGUUUGGAUUCAGUAGGAUGAUUAUGAUCGCGAACAUUAAUUCUUGGUGGUAUAAUUGACUUUAUCAAGUAACUAACAUGGUUUGAUGAUUUUACCAUAAUGACUUGGAGUAUCGAGCAAGAGUUCUUAUUGGACUUGAGUUGGGAUUAAAUAGGUAGUUCCAAUAGACUAUUAAUGGUAUGCAAGGCCACAUGGUUUGGAGUAAAUUGCAUUUAGCCCGAUGAUCUUAAUCAUGAUACCAUGUUCCUCGGUGGAUAACAAGUGCGUACGCUUGGAGUUGUCGAAUUGGUUUUCGAGCCUAUGUGAACUGGCCUGGGACAUUAGAUGGCCAUGAUAUUGAAGUUGGUGGUUAUACUAUAACGUAAUCCUUGCAAUAAUAUGCGAAUUAUGAGGACUCUAAGAGAUUAUGUAGAACCCAUAAAUUUUGGAUUUGUAGGAGUGAUGGGUCCAGUCAUGAUUGAUCAGAUUGAUGGAUCACUUGAUCGGAUUCGUAGAAAGGAAACAAGAUAUUGGAUUGGUAUACUAUGUGUUUCCUUAAUAUAAUAAUGCAGUACCCUGUCCAUUGAAUGAUCUAGCUGGACAUUUGGAUUUGUGGUGUCUUAAAUUCAAUCUUAGGAGCUUGUAUGCCUCCCCGAGGUUCUUGCAUAGUAAUGCAUGUGCAUUGUAGCUACACCGUACUUGAAGUGUUUGGGUUUAGUUCUUCCCUCAACUCUGGAGUUGACUAACAUGAGCAGUGUGGAGUUGACCCAUGUGAGAUCGUAUCUUUGAUGAAAUAGGGUGAUGUCGUCCCGAGUUAGAGGUCGAACUAUUGGAAUCUAAGGAAUGUGCUUAGAGAUAAGAUGAUAACUGUUCGCCCACCUCCUAAGUUCCUUGAUACCGUAAAAGCUUCACCCAUCGCAUCUAUGAUGAACAUGGGCAUGAAGGACUAGGUCGUGUUGGACCACAAACCCCUCGGAGAGCGACCACCCAUAGCAAGUCCCCGUUCUCCUCACGUGACUCAUGAGAAUUGUGCUUAUGUCAUGUUUGGGGAAAGUAUGUUGUCAUCCUCACCGAUGACAUACUUAUUCACCCAGUAAGAGGAAGAACACCUUAGUAUGUUUGGACGAGCCCCAGGAACACCGAUCGCUAUGCCUCUCGAGGGUACAAUGCUAAUUCGAGAAGGUGGGCUUCUCGAAGCAACCCGGAGACAAUGGAAGUCUAUCCUACUCAAGACAAGACGAAGAACCGCCAUGGUUGGGAAACCAUGACAACGAGGAAGAAGCAGAAGGCGUCAACCGACUACAACAACAAUGUCAAGAAGCCUCGACAAUUCAAGACGAUGAAACCCUUGGACAGUGAGAGAAAUCAGAGGGCCUCUCCUUGGUCCAAAUCAAGGACGAGAUUACUAGUUGGGUCAUGGUGAAAACCUACCAAAGGUGGUUCACCCGCUCGCCGAGCCGCAGACCUUGGGAGUGGACGACUGGUCUAUACUCUUGGGUAGCCAGCUCAUCCAGAACCCUUCGCAAACCCUCCAAGAUGGCAGGACCUGUUCUGGUAUCUGAGUCUCCAAGCUUAGACUCAUGGGUGAGACCCAACCCAGACCCUUUCGCGAGAAGCCUUUGAAGACCACUGCAACGCCCUCAAGGAUGAAGACCAUUUGCGACCAUAGCUUGCCUGCCAUGAGGGAGUCAAGGACUUCCUCGUAAGCAGGAAGCUACACAAAGACUUUGGCACCGCGUUCUAACACGAGACAUCUAGAUGUCACUAACCGGCUUGAGCAGCCCCGAGAAAAGAACCCAGACACACUAUCUUGCCACGUAUUCUGACUUUGGAAUGCACUUGCAAGCCAGAACCUUGCAUGGACUUAGCUCACCAAGCCCUUGACCCUCGGUCAAGCCUAACUUAUUGCCAACACCCGCUCUGUCAGGCAAGGACGUGCGAAGCAUUUGAAGUUGUAUCAUCAAGCACCUAGAGACCCACAACCGCAACAUGGCGACAUGAAGACGACCUCCGACUCAAGAUUUUGUGUCUCUCCAACCCCUAGCUGGGAAAUCUCGGGGACGAGAUUUUCUGAAGGGGUAAGGUUUGUUACACUCUGUGUUUAGGUUUCCUCACUAAUUAACUUAUUUCAAAAAUUAGGACCAAUGAAUUUUUUUUGUGAAUGAUUGUGAUGCUUGAGGUGACUAUUGUUUGCUUGCUUGCUGAUAUGCUUGUCUUGAAUUUUCCAUAAUUCCUAUUACUCUCUAGACUCACUUCUUUAACUCAAAACUCCUGCCCAAUGACCAUGCUAGGUGUUUAGGACCAAAAACUAUUUCUACGAAAUAUUAUUUUUUACCAAAAUGCAUUUCUUUGAAUUAAGCCUUCAAAACCUCUCGGAUGAGGUUUGUACUACAAGUCCUCAAAUUAGGGAAUUUAUUUUACACCAAUUAUUUUAUUUGAAACCCAUUAUCAAAAUGACUUCCCAAAACCACCAUAUUAUUAUUUUAAAAGUUAUUUUACUAAUUUAUUUAAAUGCCUUCCUGUGAGGCCAGAAAUGGUCUCUUAUGAAGGAAAGUUAUUUUUAUUGCUUUGAAAAUAUAUAAGAUAAUUUAGGGAAACUCGGUGGACAUAUUAUUUCCAUAUAUAUGAGUUUCAACAUAUGGUAAUGUUCAAAAUAUUGGGCCAAUCCCUUCAAAACUCUUCCUGCCUAUUUCAAUCUUUUGGAAUAUUUCUAUAAGAAAUAUUCUCAAUAAAUUCUAGUAAAAUUUCAGCAUGUCACCUAUGAUAUGUUUGAUGAUCUUGCCAAGUUUCAUCUCAAUCCAAGUUGAUUUGAAUCCCCUAAUUAUUCUAAAACCCUAUGUGUCCGGAUCCAAAUUUGAGCAACUCUACAUUGUCCAUUAUCUCCAAAUGUGCUCAAAUUUGGUAGACAUGUGCUGAUACUCCAAUAAUGCAUCCACACAAAGUGGUGCAUCAAGGAGAAUAGAAGAACUUGUCCCAAGCCCCUCAAAACCAUCUGUGUUAAUUUCUGACUUUGGGAAUCUUUAUAUUAUAAAGUUUCUCCACUUGACCCCAAAAUUUUUGUGCAUGCCUUAAUGCUCAAAUAAUGCCCCCACACCAAAUAUUGGAUUUGUGGGAAUUGAUUUGGAUGGAUUUGUAAGCAGAAAGCCAUUUCUACCCAUUCAUGGGUUUCCAAGUCUACAUUGGAAACCUUGUCCACCAAAUCCCAAAUUUGGUGUCCAAGCUUAUUUUUAUCUAUUAUUUGAUCCUGUUAAGUUUCAUAUCCAUUGAAGUCCAUCUAGUUGCUCUGCCACUCAUCAAACACCUUGUGUGCAUUCACUUUAUUGACUACUUUGGCCCCUUCCACUUUAACCCUUGAGCUCAACUUUCUACCACAGCCUCAUAUAGUUACAUUUUACCUCCAGUAACAUUUCCAUGGCUACUGGUCAAUUAUUGGAGAGAGGCUCCACGUAACUAUUCUGCAUUUUUACCCUUGGAAUCACUAUUUUACCCCUCUUGCUCCACUUAUGUUUAAGCGAAAGCCCACACCUCUUGUCAGAGGUUUCCUAGCAUCCCAAGGCAUUGUUUCAAGCCAAGAGAUGGCAUGCUCAUAUAGAUAAAAUGAGCAGCACAUCCUCAAGUUGAUUUCUGACUGAAAAGUAGCUUUGUACAGUAAGCAUUUGCUGCCCUCCAUUUCUUGAACUGAAACUUUACAGAAGUGUAGUCCUUCCAAGCCUAAGGCUGCUACACAUGUCUUUUUCCCAUUAUCUCUCCUGUGAGUGCCCUCAUUAGUAACACUAAGUUUGCUACUGCAAAGUUAACAACAGUCAAAACCCCACCUAGACAGCUCCAACUUGGUCCAAACUUCACCAGUGCAUUGUGGCAAGCAUGCCUUGCAUGUUUGACACCUUGGCCUGGCCAAGGGGUGGCCCAGGAUACCAAGUGGGGUGGUGACCACCUCCCUGGCAUGCUGAAACAGUGGUCUGCACCUUGGGCCCUGGCUACAGCUUGGGUCCAACGAGGGGAGCAUGUCCCAGAGCGCCGCAGAGCAUCCUUGACCCCCUCCACGACGCCAGGUAGACUCCAAGCCGCUCAGGCCGCGUGUGCCGGCCGUGCCAGUGAGCACCAGAGGCGGAUCCGAGCUCCCCCUUGUAGCCCUUCAGCUAUACCUCUCCCCUGAGCCCUCACUCUCUCUCCCUCGUUUUCCCUCUUUCCGUGGAACCUCCAGACGCUCCCAUUUCUCCUCCCAUGCCCCUUUCCUUCCCCAUGGCCGAAACCUCCCCAUCGGGCUCCUCUCCAGUUCGGCCACUUUGGCAUCUCCCUUCCCCGAGGAUCCCACCGGGGCGCCCCUGCCUCACUCCAUCCAUUCCCCAUGAUUCCUCCCCUCCUCUGCAUGCGUAGGGCGCCGUGCACCUCCUCCGUCAGGUGCCGCCGCCUCGGCCGACGUCGUGCUAGAUCUCGGUAUUCCCAAGGCCUCGGGGCGGCUGCACGCCUGUGGCGCCGCAGAGCACGGUGGUGGUCAGACCACCACUAGAGGUGGCCGGUGCUGCCGGGGGCAAGCACUUGCGCCGGCUGGCCCUGUCUCCCCUGCUCCCUCUUUGAUCGAGCGGGAGGAGGAAGAUGAGCCUGGUGCACGGGGCCCCACGGGACGGUGACACGCGAGCUGGGUCGGCUGGUAACUGGAGACGGCCUGGCCCGAAGUUGUUUCCGCGCUAGGGAAGCGUAUCCAGCAGAAUACGCCUUCGGCUGGCCAAUCUACUAGCCACACCGAGCCUCUAGGCAGGCCCAUCUCUAUCCAGCACCGAGUGCGCAGGAUAGCCCAACUCCGGAGGCCCUCCUUUUUUUUUAUAUUUAUAAGAAAACUUCGUAAAUUAGUAGCAAAUUCAUUUUAACUCCAAUUUGCUUGAUUCAAAUUCCUACAGGUUCCUAAAAUCAAGGGCUAUCCAAAUAUGUGCUUUGCACAUUUUUUACAAGCAACCUUUAUGUGGUGUUUUUAUUUAAAUCCCAAUCUGGAUAAUUUAAACCCCAUCUUAUGAAAAUCCUAUAGGGUUCAAAUCAACUCCAAUUGGAGUGAUUCCAAUUUCCAAAGAUUUUUUAUAUCAUGCCCCAUUUUUGAAGCCUUGGUCAACAUUUUUAUUUGACUUAUUUCUGUUGUAUUAAAUAAAUAGCUUCCUAUUGCUAUUUAUUCCAUAUUAGAAAAUUCCUAGAAUAUUCAUCCCAACUUCAAAUCCAGUGAAACAACUUCCUAAAUAUUUCUACAAUUAUUCUUUAUUAAAUGAGUGCAUCCACUCAUUUUUAUCAUAAUAUUUUCUGUGGGCUUCAUUAAGGAUCCCCUAUUUCUCUUCUCAUCCAUUCAGAAAUCCCUGAUGAUCCAAACCUCCUAUGGCAAGCUUCAUGUAUUUUUCUUAUUACCAGAGAGGUCCAAGAGAAAUAUAACUUCUAUUUAUGUAGCACUUUUAUUUUUGCCUGCUGUGUGGCUUACCGUGGUUGUUGUCGACGAUAGUUGACGAGUAGACAGAGUACUCGGAGUUGGAGCAGAAGACCUAAAAGACCUCGAGGACUUAUGUGAGCAAAGGCAAGCAGCCCUUUGACCAUGACUGAGCAUAUGUUCUAUUGCAUAUUAAAAUAGCAAGUAUUUCCGUUGCAUAUGAUCAUAAGUAUCGGUAAAUCAUUUGAUGUGAUGUUACCGAUGGCUCCUCCGGAGCACAUGCAUUGAGCUUGAUCCUACCCCUUUGAGGGUCAUGCUAGUAUCAUGUUGACAAGUAAUACUAGAAUAGUAUUAGCAUGAGCAUGAUGAUGACAUAACUCAAAGGUUUAUGAAAACCCCAUCGGGUGCCACUAAUGCCCGAGGGUGACGAUGAGUCAGGUGGCCACUUUUGGUGAAGUGGUGCAUCGGGUAUUUAUGUGAGUAUGGUAUCGGAAAUGGGAAUAGAUUUAUGAUGUGUCGACCGUCCCAACCUUACCUGUCACUACUGGAAUUCAGAAAUUUGUCGUCUGCUUGGCCUUUGCCGUCAGCUGACACAUGGCAAAGGUACUCUUUGCCGUCAGCUGUCACAGUGCUGACGGCAAAGAGGUGGCAGAUGGAAAAAGAUUAUUUUGCCGUCGGCCACUUCUUUGCCGUCCGCUGGCCGACGGCACAGAAGCCCUACGCGGACGGCAAAGGGAGGGCGGACGGCAAAGCACCCCCCCAACGGCCGAAACGCCACCCCACACACCCCUCCCCUUUGCCGUCUUCUUGGGGCCCUUUGCCGUCCGCCUGGGAGCGCGGCGGACGGCAAAGGUGACGGCGGCCCACCAACCCAACCCCCUACCCGGUGCCUCCCCCCCGGGACCUUUGCCGUCAGCCUAGGAGCGCGGCGGACGGCAAAGGCCCGGCAGCCUUGCCACGUCCACGCGCACCCCCGCCCCCCUCCAACCCUUCCCACGUCGCCCGUUGCUCGAAUCCCUGCCCCGCGCCGCCGCCGCCUGCCCCGCGCCGCCCCUCCUACACCGCCCCUCCUGCGCCGCCCCUCCUCCCUGCGGCACCCCUCCUCCCUGCGCCUCCUCCCUGCGCCGCCCCUCCUCCCUGCACCGCCCUUCCUCCCUUAGGUAAAUUUAUUUUUGUUUAUUUUUGUUUUUUUCUCUUUUGUCAUUUUUAGGUUCAUGGUAAUUAGUUUGUGGUAAUUAGUUUGUUAGGUUAUACUAUAUAUGCUAAUUAUUUAUGGUAAAAUUAAUGACACGAGGAUGAUAACAUUAGUUGUCAAGCAUGAUGUGUUUUUUUGGUUUUGUUUCUAUUUAAUGGUAUUUGUAGUUUGAAAACGCCGAUGUGUUCUGUGUCACACAUGUGAUACUUAUUAUGUACAAAAAAUAUUUUUUUCUCAUAGUACCUCUUCAUCGGAAUGGCUAAAAACAAUAUAUUUUUUUGACUCGGGAGUACUGAUGAUGUGUUUCAAGAAAAAAGUGGUGUCAUUAGAAAAGAAAAAGGUUUAGGGUUGAGCACAUUAUUCUAUCUUCGAAGAUCGACCCGGUACCCUCCCCAAAAAAAAGAUCGACCCGGUCCAGCUGAUUCAUGAGCACAGCGACGUGGGAAGCACUAUGUUGUGGUGUGUGUGCUUCCACCGGACAAAACAAUGAAAUUUUGAAACAUGGACGCGGCGCCGGACCAGGCGUUGACGGCGGAGGCGGCGGCCGUGCUCUCCCCGAGCGGGCCGGUCAGGUAGCUGAUGAAGUUGGAGGAGAUGCCGUAGUACGCGAACCCCCGACCCCCCGACCCCCGACGCCACUGACCCCUGACCCCCGACGCCACUCACCCUCGACCCCCNNNNNNNNNNNNNNNNNNNNNNNNNNNNNNNNNNNNNNNNNNNNNNNNNNNNNNNNNNNNNNNNNNNNNNNNNNNNNNNNNNNNNNNNNNNNNNNNNNNNNNNNNNNNNNNNNNNNNNNNNNNNNNNNNNNNNNNNNNNNNNNNNNNNNNNNNNNNNNNNNNNNNNNNNNNNNNNNNNNNNNNNNNNNNNNNNNNNNNNNNNNNNNNNNNNNNNNNNNNNNNNNNNNNNNNNNNNNNNNNNNNNNNNNNNNNNNNNNNNNNNNNNNNNNNNNNNNNNNNNNNNNNNNNNNNNNNNNNNNNNNNNNNNNNNNNNNNNNNNNNNNNNNNNNNNNNNNNNNNNNNNNNNNNNNNNNNNNNNNNNNNNNNNNNNNNNNNNNNNNNNNNNNNNNNNNNNNNNNNNNNNNNNNNNNNNNNNNNNNNNNNNNNNNNNNNNNNNNNNNNNNNNNNNNNNNCUCACCCUCGACCCCCGACCCCCUACCCAGACCGUGACGCCACUGACCCCCAACUCCCGAGCCCGGACACCUCUUUGGCUUCUUGUUGACCGAAAAGACCCCAACCCCCGACGCUAGUGACCCUCAACCCCCGACAACACUCACCCUCGACCCCCGAGCCCCGACACCUCUUCGACCUCUUGUUGACCGAAAAGACCCCAAUCCCCGACGCUAGUGACCUUCGACCCCCGAUGACACCGACCCACAUAGUUAUGAGUUAGGUCAUAUAGUUAUGUUAAUUAUAAAAACAUCAUAUUUGUGUUGAUUGGGUGAAUUUCAAUGUGCAGUUGUUCGACGACCUCCACGUGCGUUGGACGAGCUCCGCCCUUGCGUUGUUGGUGAGCACAAAUGACUUCUCCUCCUACCCCCUUAAUUUGCUCUGUCCCGGUCUUCGUGCCGAUGAAACUUGCUAGCUAUAGGUUUCUUCAAUCAAGAGGAAAAAGGAGAAGAAAGAGGAAAAAUGAGAAGAAGGGGACAAAAGGAUAAGAAGAAGAAGGAGAAGAAGGAGAAUAAGAAGGAGAAGAAGGAGAAGAAGGAGAAGAAGAAGGAGAAGGAGCUCCCGCUCCUUCUCCUUCUUCUUCUCCUUCUUCUCCUUCUUCUUCUCCUUCUUCUCCUUCUUCUUCUUCUCCUCUUCCUUCUCCUUCUCCUCCUCCUCCUCCUCCUCCUUUUUCUUCUUCUUCUCCUCUUCCUUCUCCUUCUCCUCCUCCUCCUCCUUCUUUUACUUCUUCUUCUCUUUCUCUUCUCCUAUAGUUAGCUAGGGUUCCACCUAAAUGACAUAAUUAGCUUAGUUAGCUCCUAAAUGGUCUAUACUUAGCUAAUUUCUCUCCGAAAUAACCUAUAUAUACACUACUUCAUCUAGUAUUAUUUUUCUAACUUUCUUAUUUGUCAUUUUGCAGAUUACCUUCACUUCACGGGAAGCUUGGUUGAUGGAAUGCUUGAAGAUGAUUUCUUGUACCAUGGGUUGUAUUGAAACUAUUGUAGUAUAUGAAUAUAUGAAACUUUGUAUGCACGUGGAUGAAACUGGUGUAAUAUAUGGUUUGGUACGGAUGUAACUUGCAUAAUAUGUAUGCACUAUGGAUGAGAGUUAUUUUAAUAUGGCUAUGAGUACGGAAAGAAAUUUAUUUAUGUCAAAUAUAUAUAUAUAUCCUGAUUAUUGUUAAAAAUGCUGGAUAUAACAAAAAAUAAAUAAAUAAGGGGUUGGUUCCCCUCUUUGCCGUCUGCCAACACAUGGCAAAGGGGGGAAGGCACAUGGCAAAGGGGGAAUCUGCCCCCUCUCUCUCCCCUCUUUGCCGUCUGCCAACACAUGGCAAAGGGGGGAAGGCACAUGGCAAAGGGGGAAUCUGCCCCCUCUCUUUCCCCCUUUGCCGUCAGCCCCCACAUGGCAAAGGGGGGAAGGCACAUGGCAAAGGGGGAAUAUGCCCCCUCUCUCUCCCCCUUUGCCGUCAGCCCCCACAUGGCAAAGGGGGGAAGGCACAUGGCAAAGGGGGAAGCUGCCCCCUCUCUCUCCCCUCUUUGCCGUCUGCCCCCACAUGGCAAAGGGGGGGAGGCACAUGGCAAAGGGGGAAUCUGCCCCCUCUGUCUCCCCUCUUUGCCGUCUGCCCCCUCAUGGCAAAGGGGGGAAGGCAGAUGGCAAAGGGGGAAUCUGCCCCUCUCUCUCCCCUCUUUGCCGUCAGCCCCCACAUGGCAAAGGGGGGAAGGAAGACGGCAAAGAGAGGAGGCCUGCCAUUAACACUUAACGGGGAUGUUGCAAUAUAUGCCGUCCCAUUUAUUUUGCCGUCNNNNNNNNNNNNNNNNNNNNNNNNNNNNNNNNNNNNNNNNNNNNNNNNNNNNNNNNNNNNNNNNNNNNNNNNNNNNNNNNNNNNNNNNNNNNNNNNNNNNNNNNNNNNNNNNNNNNNNNNNNNNNNNNNNNNNNNNNNNNNNNNNNNNNNNNNNNNNNNNNNNNNNNNNNNNNNNNNNNNNNNNNNNNNNNNNNNNNNNNNNNNNNNNNNNNNNNNNNNNNNNNNNNNNNNNNNNNNNNNNNNNNNNNNNNNNNNNNNNNNNNNNNNNNNNNNNNNNNNNNNNNNNNNNNNNNNNNNNNNNNNNNNNNNNNNNNNNNNNNNNNNNNNNNNUUUGCCGUCCGUGGUUGCCCCCUUUGCCGUCCGCCUUGGCAGACGGCAAAUUUCUGAAUUUCAGUAGUGUGUACGACCACGUUACCCCUUUAUGGGACGGGGCUGUGUUGAUUACUUUGGUCGGUACUAGCAAAGAGCCACAUUACUAGUGGCAGGAGUGAUAUGUGAUCACUCUCGUGAUGGGGUCGUGCCAGGUAGGACGACUAUACCCUUUUUAUGAGUUCCAGGCACACCGUUGGUCCUCACAUGGUUGAUACUGUCCAGAGUCGGUGCUCGUAAGACGUACAACAUGUGGGCUGGGUACCAAUCGAGUAGGCCUCUUUGUCUAGUAUCGUCAGGGGAAAGGCAUUUAUCGGGUACUUACCUUGGGUAUGUUAUAUACCGCGAGUCAUGGUUGACACAGAAGUUUCUCGGAUCUCAUGGGUCUAGCGUACUACCUCUGCAGAGUGUAAAACUAUUCGAAUAGCCGUGUCCACAGUCAAGGAAUGUUGGGUAAUCCUGCUUAAACUAUGUCCAGACGUUUCCUCAUAAACCAAGUGUGUGUGAGUUGUGAUGAAAAAGGAGUUAUUAUGAAGUAAUGAUAUGACCAAGUUCGGUGACUUGGCAUAUAGGGUGAACCCGGAUGGUUCAGCCCUCGACAGAUAUGUUGGUAUCUGUAACCUGUUCUUCAAGAGUAAUUCUUUAACUUGAUGCAUAUUCAUGAUCAUUCCACCAAGAUGAAUUCCACCCAAGAUGCAUGUUAUUGUUAGCCUUCACUUUCAUUGUUCAUAUCAUGGGUGGUUAGCGAGUACAAUCAAAAGUACUCAUUGGCUUGCCACUAGUUAUUUCAUUGACCAGGUAUGAAAGAAUAAGAUUUGGUGAAGAGUAAUUCGGUGACGUUCUAGCGAGCUAGGAUGCUUCCCAGUCAGAAUGCGUGUAGGUUAAGGCUGAUGGCAAGGGUUCACGCUUUCGACCAAUAAUUUCGAUAUUGGUCCAGUGUGGAGUGUUGGCCCUCAAGGCCCUAUAUAUGUAAGACUUGACCACAAUGGUCAAUUGUUGUAUCAAACAAUAUGUAUGGAUGUAAGACUCUUAAUAUUCAGUAUCUGUGUGUUCGGUGAGCAUUGAUCUCUGGGAUCACUGAGCACGUUCAUUCGACGAUCUCGACUCGUAAGUCGGGGUCCGCACAAUCGAAGUCCAAACGUUAUGUGAAAGCACAUAUGCUCCCUUGGUGGUUUUAAUAAUUCAUGACAACAUACAUUGUCUCUUGUACUAACACUUUAGCUAGUGUAUUUUAGUAUAGUCCACUGAGAGCAUUGGAUAAAGGAGUAUGAGGAGAAACCCCUUGAUGCAAGGAAUGGAAUAGGAUUGGCUCAAGCUUCAAGGAAAAGGACUCUACAUUUUAUAUUUGUGAGAAAUCACUUCUGAGUCCAUAGUAAUCUCAAUACUAUUAAAAGGUGGUGAUGUAUUAUGAUGAAUCGGUUUCUCAAGUGCUUAGAGAUAGCCACGAAGAAUACUUAGCAUUUCCCCCACAAAUAUCUUUGUCCCAAGCCAAAGAAGAAAAAUCUGUGCCACCAAGUUUUCCCACUUGGCCUUGCCUACUUUCCAAUGUCAGAUCCUUUGCCAAACCCUAAUCUCUUGGUACCACCAAGUUUCACAUCGGUGCCACCGAAAGCAUGUGACCAACUUUCUGUUGAGCAGAUUUGAAGAAUCGAAAUUUCUAAGUUUGGAAUCGAUCUCACUGAGAUUUGGAAACUUCCCUAGGUCAUCGCAUCUGUACCAUCAAGAUUGAUAUAUCAGUCUCACUAAGAAUUGAAAAUUUGUCGCAUUUAGUGCAACUCGGUACCAUCGAUAUUCAUUUUGGUGUCACCGAGUUGGGAAUUAAUGUUGUAACGGUUGGAUUUUGGGGGAUGCCCAUAUAUACCCCUCCAAUUCCUCUCAUUCAUAGAGGAUGCACUCAAAACACACACACAAUUGCCAGAUCCAUUUUUCCAAAAGAGAGCCACCUACUCAGGUGUUGGGAUCAAGAGAUUCCAAUCCAACCAUUUGAAACUUGAUCCCUAGCCUCCCCAAGUUGCUUUCCACAAAAUCAAUCUCUCCUACCCAUGCCAAAUCUAUGAAAGAGUGAUUGAGAGUUGAGGAGACUAUAAUUUGAAGCACAAGAGCAUGGAGUUCAUCGUUCUACCGCAUCUAUUACCUUUUGGAGGUUGCUGCCUCCUAGAUUGGUUAGGUGUUGCUUGGGAGCCUCCUACUUCGUGUUCUGGAGUUGAACCAAGAAGUUUGACCAUGCAAGGAGACCUCCUACUUCGUGACGAUCUACUAUGAGCGAGGCUUGUCCUGUGUGGACGUAAGCCAUGGUGGAAUAGACAAGACCGCUUCUUCGUGGACCCCUUGUGGGUGGAGCCCUCCAUGCAUUAUCGCAGUCAUUACCCUCCGUGGGUUGAAGUCUCCACUAACGUGGAUGUACGAUGGCGCCACCUAUCAGAACCAUGCCAUAAAUCCCAGUGUUCAUCUUUGCGUUUGAUCUUCCUGAACUCCACUCCUUACUUACAUGUGCAAUGUCUUUACUUUUCGUUGCCAUAUAUGUUGACUAGCAUAUGUAGGGUGCACUAGACUUGUUAGAUUUGCUAAAAUCUGCCAACCAUUAAAAUUGGGAAAAGUCUAGUAUUUUAAUUCAUGCAAGUAAAAAAUUCACCCCCUUCUCUAGACACCCCUUAUAUCGAUCCAACAAUUGGUAUGAGAGCUUUGGUCUCCCUACCCUUGGUUUAAACACCAUUGGAGGAAGAUGGAUGUGCCUAGUUUGGGGAAUAUUAGUUGUAGAGUGUCUUUUCUUUGAGGAGCAUUAUAGACAAUGGAAAGAUGAAAUGCUUGAUAUAUUUGAUAAAUUCCAUUUGUGCAAGUAUGUUGAAUCUCCCUAUGUGCCUCCCAUUGAUCCCUUACAUCCUUCUCAUGAUGAUGAACUUGAUAUGCUUCGCAAUCUUGAAGUUUUUAAUCUCAUCAUUAGAGGACUGCCAAGAAAUGUGCUUAAUCAAUUACAGAUUUUUGAGUGUGCUCAUACUUUGGGGAAAAACUUAGAGAAAAUAUAUCCAAACUAUUCCCUAAAAAUCUUGAUAUCAUUUUCCAUAAAUGCAUUGCCUUUCACAAAAUGAAGCCAAAUGAUCCUAAUUUUGAUAAAUAUCUAUUUGAGGUUCCUGAUCUCAUGCGUGCUAAAGGAGAUGUCAUUACCAUUAACAAUAUCACUAUUGAAGCCAUUCACAUGCAUAAACGUGAACAUUGUCAUAGUCAAAAUUUUCAUGAAAUUCUUAAUUCUUAUGACGAGGAUACUCCGUCUGAUGAUAAAAAUGGGGAGCUUGACUACUACAAUGAAGAUGAGGAGUUUAACAUCGAGUAUGAGAAGACCAUGAGGAACUUAGUCUUAUGGAAAACCUUAGAGACUACAUGGUCGGAGGAAAAUAGUGGAUACUUGACAAUGAAUGCACCGAUCACAUGACAGUAGAUAAAGACAUGUUCCAUGAGAUCACACCCAACCAUGGACCUCGAAGGUAUGUGACCUUUGGCAAAAACUCCAAGGAUAAGGUACUUGGUCUUCGUAAGGUGGUCAUAUCUCAUGAUAGUUCCAUUCAAAAUGUCAUGCUUGUUGAAUCUCUUGGUUACAGUCUUCUUUCCGUAUCUAGACUAGCAGACUUUGGUUUCAGUGUGUUAUUUACAGAAGUUGACUGCCAAGUGUUUUGCCAUGAUAAUCAUAACUCGUUCUUCACUGGUUUUUGUAGAGGUGAUUUGUACAUUGUCGAUUUCACUAUAAAAUCCAAACACCGUACAUGUCUUAUUGCAAAAUCUUCCAAAGGUUGGUUAUGACAUAGAAGGCUAGGACAUGUUGGUAUGCGAAACCUUGAUAGGCUUAUCAACGGUGAUCAUAUUCUUGGUGUUAAAGACGUUAUCUUUGAAAAAGAUAGACUUUGUAGUGCUUGUCAAGCAGGAAAGCAAGUCGGUGGAAGUCAUCCCGUGAAGAACAUCAUGACUACAAGAAGGAGACUUGAUAUACUACACAUCAAUCUUUUUGGUCCAAAUGCUUACAAGAGCCUUGGUGGUCUUAUGAUUUAGUCAUUGUUGAUGAUUUUCCUAGAUUUACGUGGGUAUUAUUUCUUGAUGAUAACUCACAAGUACAAAAGAUCUUCAAGAACUUCGCUCGAAAAGCCCAAAAUCAGUUUGAAGUGAAGAUCAAGAAAGUUCAGAGCGACAACAGAACGUAUUUCAAGAAAACAAAUCUGGAUACCUUUCUUGACGAAGAAGGUAUCUCACAUGAGUUCUUGGUGACAUACACUCCUCAACAAAAUGGACUUGUUGAGAGGAAGAACCGAACUCUCAUAGAGACGGUCAGAACGAUGCUUGAUGAAUACAAGACGCCAAGACAUUUCUGGGUAGAAGCCGUGGAAACAGCAUGUCACGCCAUAAAAUGACUCUACUUCCACAAGCUUCUAGGUAAAACGGCAUAUGAGCUACUCACCGGUAACAAACCCCAAGUUGGAUAUUUUCAAGUACUCGGCUCUAAGUGCUACAUUCUUGAUAAGCAUCAUCGUUCUAAAUUUUCUCCUAAAUCGUAUGAAGGUUUCUUACUUUGUUAUGGGUCAAACUCUCACACUUACCAUGCAUACAAUAGCUUCACUCAAGAAGUUGAUGAUACGGUAGAUGUGAAGUUUGAUGAAUCUAAUGAUUCGCAAGUCGAACAAUUGCCAAAUGAUGUAGGAGACAUGGAACCUUCGGAAGCCAUCCAAGAUCUACCUAUCAACAAGAUUCGUCCCAUGGAGGUGAAAGAAAGUACUUCAUCAACUCAAGUGGAAGUUCCUACUUCAAGUCAAGAUGAACCACAAAAUGACAUGGAGGCAUACACAAGCGGUACAUGACAUGAUGAAGAAGAGGAAGAAGUAGAUCGUGAGGAU